UCGUUUUCAGUUGGAAGUCACUUAUCUUUGCCCUUUUUAGCCUUCUUUCUGAUCAGAUCACAGAACUCAACUAAAAGGUUUCCCCUAGAAAGUCUCCACAUAUCACAAUCUGCCACUUUGGCUUUUCCUUGAAUAUGUAAAUCCACCCAUUCAUAUGCAUGCAACAAUAACAUCAUCUGUGAGAAAAUCAGCAGGGGUAGGCCUAUCCUUAGUGGAAUUGCAAUAUUAAUUUUCUUCCACUAGACCACCUGUCUGACCUUAUGAUCAUGUCAUAAAUGCAAUUCUUUAGGUGAUUGGAACACGGAGGGCAUGUUUGUUUGCAAUUGAUGAGAACCAUUUAUUUGUAGUGUGGGUGUUUCUUCUCUUUUUUUAGUUUCCCAGAAUUUCCCACCAACUUCUGAUUUGUAUUUAUUUAGGGGAUCUGUCUCAGACUUCACUAGAUUGCAAGAAGGUAGUGGUGGUGGUGGAGGUGGGGUGGAUUGCCUUGUCCUCCACCGCCCAUGUCCACAUAUUGACAUGGUGAUGUUAGUAUGUCAGCCGUUUAUAAAAGUCACAAUUUAGAAUGCGACCUUAUAAUUUAUUCAUCUAUAUGGCAUAUGGACCUUAAUUUAUUGAAAUGCAACACUGUUUCUGAUAGUGACAAAAGAAAAGACCCGUCCACCACGUCUCUGAAGUCAAGUAAUUAGGCGUUGCAGGCCACCUGAUUUGAUCACAUUUUGGCAAAUAAGCCCAUUAAAAAAAGGACACGGUCCAAUAUGUAAAAGUCUGCUGCCCAGAAGAUGGGCUUCUGUUCUGAUUACUACAAGUUCAGAUAAAGUCAGCAGUUGGAGCCAUCUAUCAAUUAAGCCAUUAUGGAAAAUGGGUUCAUUAAAAGAAAUAAGAUAGUACAAAAACUUCAAGUUAAGGGAAGGAAGUCUCACUUCAUAACUCCCCCUUCCAAGGUUGAUGUUACAUGUCUACAAAAGGAAGCUUCAUUUUGCUGCCUUUUCAAACUAGCAACUAUCAAGGAAAUGUUCCAUGAUCCAUCCAUGCAAUGAAAUACACUCUCAUUUCAAAAUGCCAUAUAAACUUAUAAAAUGCAAUGAAUUGAUUCAUCUAUAAGGGAUGUCAGGCUCCCGGUUGACAGAAUGUUCAAACUGUAGAGGAAUAAUCUCACUUAAUGAAUUAACAUAAUCAUGCAAUCCCCUUACAUUAGAUAGACCUUUUUUGUGGAGAAUAAAAAUGGGUUCUAUAAAUUAACCUUUGACACGAUGUGCUCAACAAUUACCAAGCUAAUCACUAUCCCAAGUCUCAUCUACCUGUUUCGGUGUCUUCAUUCUUUUAUCUUUCUCCUUGCUCGUCUCAUUUUUUGUUAUGUGAUAAUCCUCUUCUUCAUCACCGCUCUGAUAAUCAUUGCUUAUUGCUUUGGAUACCUUUGAGUAUCCCUCAUCAUCUGAUUCCCACAUUCCUACUUUUGAAUCACUUAACAUAUUUUCUGACUCAGAAUCUUCUUCAAUCAUAUUUCUGCUAAAGUUAGCUUCAGCAUUUCUCAUGAAGCCUUGAUCAUUAUUGACUCGGCUAAUCUGACCAUGCUUCUGUUUUGCUAUUCUAGAUUCCCUGAAUUCAUCCUGACCUUCAUCAGAUUCAGAAUAAUCAGCAUCAUUCUCAUGAUCAUUCACCAGAUUCCUUGCGUUCUUACUAUCUCUUUUUAUGCGAUGAAGAUGCUCAUCAUCAUCACUGCUGCUCCUGUAAUCAUUACUUGCCAUUCUUGAUGUCCUCGAGUCAUGUUCUUCCUCGGCAUCUGACUCCCACAUAGCGUUUUCCAAAUCAUCUAACAUAUCUUCUGACCCUGAGUCUUCUUCAUCUACCUUUCUCCUAAAUUCUUCAGCAUUUCUCUUGAAAUCCUUACUAUUAUUAUUUUUGGCUCUGCCAAAAUCCAGCUUCCCACUUUGCAUUCUAGGUGCCGUGAACUCAUUAUGAACUUCAUCAGAAUCAUCACCAUCACUCUCAGGAGUUCUCAGAUCUCUCACAUCAUUGGAAUCCCAUUCUUCAUCACCCUCAGAAACAUCAUUGCCUUCAUCAUCAGUAUCAGUUGUCCUCUGUCUGCCACGCGUAUGGUUCCAACCCCUUGCCCCUCUAACAUCACUAUCAAAGUCUUCAUUUUUAGGGUUAUCAAAUCUUCUAAACCUCCCAGCAAACUCUUCUCUGUUCCAAUACCUCAUUUUGCUGAGCUCUUCUUUCUCGGCAGCUUCUUCCACUGCCCAUUCCUUAUCUGCUGCAUCCUCUAUCUCAGCUAUGAAUUGGUCAAGUUCCUCUUGGUCGCUAUCAACAGGAGGCUCUUCUGACAGUUUUAAGUCUUCAGUAGGUGCUGCUCCAAAUAGUUUGUCCCCCUGGAAAACAUAAGGACUUCCUUCCUGCUUGUCAAUUGCAUUGAAGAAUGUGGAUGCUACUCUCUGGAUGCUGGCCAUGGCAACUGGAUCCUCAGGGUUUACACCCAUUCGCCGCAGCUGUUGUUCUAUUUUCUUUAUGUUUAGUUUCUGAGAAUCAAGUGCUUGUUCAAAUCUGGCUUUGAAUAAUGCCUGCAUAUUAAACAGAAUCAUGUUUAUCAUCAAUCAAAACCAGAGCUCACAGAGUAUAUAAUUAAUUUGAACACUAUAAUUGAUUUUAUCAGCAAAAUAUGGGUUUCUAAUCUCAAGAACUAGAGCAUCAAAACCGAUUGAAUGAAAAAAGCACUUUGUGCAUGCAAUAGCUAUACAAGAGAUGGCAGUCCAUUCUCUGCAUGCCAUGCAAUGAAUUUGCCAGUGUUUGGCCAAAGGGUACAUAAUUUCAAUACAGACACUCUCCCAGACUCGAAAAGUGUAAGACACAGACUUAGAUUUCCGUGUUUUUUGGUAGUGUUGCUUACACCCUGUGGGGUUCAAUUGGGAUUGGUCUUUCUCAUUUGCUUUUCUUGAGCAUUGAGUUUUAUUCAGCAUGGGUUUUGUGAAAAUAUGAGCAUUAAAACCUUAGGAAGCUUGGGGAAAACAGUAAGACAUGUUCAUGUCCAGGUUGGACUGCUUCUUUAGCCUUUUUAGUAGCAGCUACAAUAAAAAUAUACCAUUGUCCUGUGCUGCUCAGCACUGUGAAACACAGGAACAAAAAUCAGGUGCCAGGAGGGAACAGAAAAAUCUUGCAACAAACUGCCUCAUGGUCUGUCAGCUUCGUUCCUUAACUUCUCCAGAACAAUGUUUUGUAUGAAAAAAAAUUAAAUUGUUAUCUUUAAAUGUUUUGCCAGGUUCAUCCUAAAAAGAGAAAAAUAAACGAAUACGCUAAGGAGCAAGAUUGUGUGUACUUGCCUUCCUCUUUGUGAGGGUGUUGAUAGGUAUCAGAUUCUUUGGCUGGCGAUAGUUUCUGCCACGGAACAUGAUAAUUGUUUUCACAUCAUGUACAUUUAUCACGAUACCUCCACUCAAUCUUGCAAGCAUGGUUGCCAUCUCCUUGAUUUUUUCCUUUGGGAAGUUAUCACAGCAAACUUGAACAGUCUCAUGGAACUUCCAGUGAAGAUGCAUAUUUUGGACCACUCCUCCAAAUACUCCACGAACACCAACAGGAACAUAAUUUUUAUUUCUGAAGCCAAUCUUCUUAUAUGCCUGAAGCUGCUCAGCAGUUAAUAACUCAGGAUCAUGUCGAGGGGCAGGAAGCUCUGGUAGCUCAUAUUUCUUGAGCUUCUGCAGCAGUAAUGCCACUUUCUUCUUGGCCUGCAAAAGUAAAGAAAUUGAUGUUAUAAAUUGGAAACCAGGAACAAAUACCCGAACAUUGCUUUACAAUUGGUCAGAAUUUGGAAGCCAUCCUUAACUAACAGUUGUAAAUGUGAUUGUGGAUGAAUCUUGCUGUAUCAAAAAGUAAAGAAGAAAAUAUGGAUGAAUUUUGCAUCUAAACCAAACCAUUAAAAGGAACCACAACAAUAUAUUUAUUUAGAGAAAGAGAAGAAUCAAAUUAACAACAAAGUUAUAAACAUGAAAUGAAAUUCAACCAGAAACAAGAGGGCCCAAGUAAUAAACAUAAAUAAUCAUUUCCUCCGAAAGAAUAGAGGAUUCCUAGCUUAUAAUUUCUCACAUAAAAAAGCAAACCACCAAAUCAUCAACGUUCUACUUUCUCAAGCAUCGACCAAGGCAUUGGAACUGGAAUUGAUCUGCAGUUAAUCAGCGUAACCCAUCAUUUUUUUUUUGAUAAGUAAAGGAAACUUGUAUUAAAAAACCACCAAAGCAGUGGCCAAAAGAUUACAAGGAAGAAAACACCCCCCACACCCUAGCUGGAAGCCAAGGACGGAGGAGCAGCCCAACCCACACCCUCAACGGGUUCCCAUCAUUGUGUGAUGUUCACCAAGUUAUUUAUGGGCUAUGUUGAGUUGUGUGGAAUCUACUUAUACAGUAUGGGCGAUUUCUUUAAGUGGUAUUUUAGCUAUCCUACACAUAUUAGUCUAUUUUAAUUUUCACAUUAUACAAAGGGUUAUUAAGGCAGUUGUUUCUUGUGUGAAAAACAGAGGCAAGGCCAUCAUUGGGAGGUGUGAGAUCACCCUGAAAAUUUUCUUUUAUUAUAUUGGAAAAUCUGCAAUGGUAAAGUGGAAGCUCACAUUAAGAGUGAACCACUAGAAAUCUGUAUGUACUUCUUCUUUUUUCCCAUUUUCCUGUUUGAUAUUGCUCUUGUAAAUAUGGCAAUAGAAACAAAAUUAAGCACCGGAUACACUAUAACAUAACUGGCAAUGGGGGAUUUCAAUAUUGAUUUUCAAGAGCAUCCGAACUAGCUAUUCUUCUACCGUCAAGCAUCUAUACAUCAUGCAUGCCGUCAAAACUUUGACUUGGUAAACAUGAAAAUGCCCCCUCCCAAAGCAAACACCAAUAAUAUAUAAAUCAGUAAAAAUUCAACUCAGUGUAUCCAUAUUAGCAUUUCAUAUUGCAAAUACUGGGUUCAAAAAAAGGAGACAUCUUUAACAAAAAUUCUGAGUCAAGGGCCACAAAUUCAAACUAUGCACUAUCGAGUUCAUGCACGUUCCAAGAUGGGGAAAAUCUAUGAAUUAAAGGGGAAAAAAAUGUACAAAUGCAGAUUAGCUUACUCUUCUGAGAUUGUAUAUGAGUCUCUCCUCAUCAGUCAUCAACUUCUUGCGCAAUUUCUGAGCGCGGCGAACCUCUCUUAGGGUUUUUCCAGACUCUUUACGCAUCCUCCUCUCCACCUUGCUCCGCAUGCUUCUCCCUCCAGCCGUGGACAUCGCUCGAGACCAUCCACUGAAUCCAUUCCACGGGGAAAUUGAUGAAGAGCAGUCCUCGCUCCCAGCACUCGAUUGAAUCGGAUUGCUUGAAAGACAUUUCAAAGGAACAUAUCUCCGUGACACAACAUUCCUGAAAUAUAGUAAAAUCAGACUGCCCAUGUGAGAAACAAAAAGGGGAAAGCCAAAAUUUGUGUUUAGUAGCGGAGAAAUGAAGGAAAAAGAAGUGAAUAAUAGGGAAAAUUUUCUGUCUUUUUCCUGUGAUUUCUCAGGAACCAAACGGAUGGAAAUUGAGAAGAGAGAGUGAGAGAGUACUUGUAAGGAUGGGAUUGGAGGAGAGAGGAGAGGGUCUUCAAAGACCGCCUUUGAAGGUUCCUUACUAUAGACAUUGCAAGAUAGAAGGGUCUCUCAAUCACCGUAGAGAAUCCGUGGUUGCUUCCAUGCUCACCCAAUCCGUCCGCUAGCUGGGUUUUUCAGGGUUUAAGCCUUGAGGUUUGGCCAAGGGUUGACCUCCUCUUACUUAUGUGCAGUUCGUUCAGUUCAGAGGUCUACGACGUCGUUUAACCAAGACAACCUAAGCUAUUUACCCGAGGGUCGAGCACUGCACCGAUCAGUCCUCAUUUACACUUCUCAGAAUUCCACUAAAAACUAAACAUGCUUUCUUUGAGAUAAUUUUUUGAAAAUGUUUUUAGUUAAAGUCUUAUUAAUUGAAAUAUUUUUUUUGAAAGUGCCUUGAAGAGGAUUAUUUGUCAAGUAUUUCAUCAUAAAAACAUUAUAAAUGAUUUAUGAUUUUUCAAUAUUAUAAAUGAUUUUCAGAUUUUUAAAAGUGUUUCUUUAAAUUUGUCAAAUAUCUAAAUUUUUUUCAAAAACACUUUUUUGACCAAAAAUGCAUUUGGUGGCGAUUCUAGGUGUUUUAAUUUUUUUUAACACUAGAAAUUUCUUAUGUUUCAUGUAUUAGAAAAAGACUAAAAAUAUUUCUUAAAAUCACUAUCAAACGUAUUUUAAAAGUCUGUUUGAUGAUGAUUUUACGAAAUGUUUUUAAUAUUUUUAAUACUUAAAAUUUUUUAUCAUUCAAGUAUUAAAAAUGUUAGAAACAUUUUCUUAAAUCACUUUCAAACGUACUUUAAAAAACCGUUUGACAAUAAUUUUAUGAAGUGUUUUUAAAUUUUUUAUCCUUUAAGUAUUAGAUAUACUAAAAACGUUUUUUAUAAUCACGUAAGAACGCUUCCUCCCUGUUAACACUUGAACCUCAAUGGCAUGUCUUCCAAUAAUUACAAAAGAGAAUAAUAUAGCAGCCAUUCAUAUACUGGAAAUGCAGACUAACUCUGCAAUUAUGCAAUCGAUAAAGAGCAUAAAGCAAUUUCUUUCAUUAUAGGAGCCACAACAGUUCUGGGUUCACAUCCAUUUUAGUAAAUACUUUACUCCUGUGUCACAAGCUUUUGACUUUUGAGAUAGCACCUGCAUCCUGAAUGGUGCCUAAAAUUAACAAACAAACAAAUAAACACCCAAGUUGACUGAGAGAGGUACCUGCUCCUACUACCCCUUUAACACCUAAACAAUUUGAGCUCCAAGACCUCAUGUUUUCAUAACCAUUGUAGGGUUCAAAAACUUGCUGCAAGCCUUGUAGAGGUCUUCAAAAACUUGCUCUAAAGCAAAGUGCCAUAAAAAGAGGGAAGUCCCAGUGACCCUCCAAAGCAAGAAAGCUCUUUUAACAAUAAUGGUAAGAGAUACUUGAAACAAGAGGAGAAGAUCCACUGGUACAAAAUUGGGAUUCUAUCACCCAUCUUGAGAAGCUUCUCUGCACUAUCUGCUUCUUCAUAACCGAUCUAGCCAACCAAAUAUGCUGUCUUGUGAUCCAAAUUGCAAAUCCUGCAGGACAUAGAUGAGGAAUUAUAACUGUGAUAUCAGUGAAGUUUAAUUGUAUAGAACAAGGGUUGGAGGUGAAGCUUACUGCAAGCUGAAAAUCUGGUGGAGUAUCUAGUUCUAGAUUCUCAAGGUCAGCAAUUCCACAGGGUGCAUUAUGAUCUCCAGGUAUGCCAUUCAUGUUGUGAGAAAAGCCAAUGACAGGACCAUGGUUUAAUCCUGUGUCAUAGUGAGGAGCACCAGGAUAAAAGAUCUCCUUGCAUAACAGUGAGUCGUGCAGCCCAUUCUGAUCUGCAUCCUCAAUGGCCUGUGAUUCGCCGGCCAGCCAUAGGGGAUACUCCAUAUUGUUCUCAAUCUGAUCAGUAGAUGGAUUUGGAUGAGACGCUUCUCCAACAAACUCUGCUUUCUAAUUCACAUGAAAAAGAUCCAGUAAGUACAGGAUAAAACAAAGGAAACAAUAACAAAAUGUAAUCGUCUCCUUUCCUACUCCAUGUCUUUUGAAAAUUCAAAUAGAUUUAUUUUGUUUCUGUUUGCAUUUGAAAAAUGCAAAAUAUUUGUUUGACAUAUUUUGAUGAGUACUUGUUUGACAUGAACUUGAUAAAAUUUAACAAAUAGAAUAUCAGAUGGUCAUGGUAGUAAUGUUUUCCCCCCUGUAGCAACAGCCAAUUCUAGAAAUUAUGUUCUAGCAGCAGAAUGCAUCAAUGACAAAAAUAGAAUCAACAUUAGAGUUGAUCUUAAAUCCUCCACCCGUAACAACCCCUAUCGGACCAAUUUUGAGUGUGUUUGAUAAAUUAACCUAUUGACUUAAUAUGAUUUAAUGACUUAAGCUAUUAAACAUAUUGAUAAAUCAACUUAAUGACUUAAUAACUUUAGCAUAAUUUUACAUAAACUUACUUUAAGUCAUUAAGUAUUAAGUUUUACCAAAUGCUCUCUCUAUCUACAACUAAAUCAGAUUGUAGCCCACAAAUGAGUACUUUCAGUAAUGAAAAGGACAGCUUACAACAGUGUCCAUCCCACAACAGUCCAUUAUCAGCAUUUAAGGAUAAUCAUUCCCAAUAGCUCAUCAAUAGGGCCUUAAGAUUUCAGACAGGGCAUAAGAAAAGUUGCUACGUACCUGUGCAGACCCAUGGGGUGUGCUAUCAUCCCCAGCAUUGGCACAGAAAACUGAUUUCUCUGAUCGAGGUGGAUUUGGAGUAGUUGUUUUGGGGGUUCUUGGACUAGUUUGAGAUGUCACUGCAUCCAAUUCUUCAAUGACUGGAAUAUUAUCAUUAGUCUCUGUUUGUUUCUGUGGCUGAUAGAAAACUUUGGACACCACAUAUUCAUCUUCUCUUUCAUCUUCUUCAGUGCCAAGAUGAUAUUGAUGCAUCACCCAAUUAGACUUAUCUGGCUUGGACCCCUUCUUUGAACUUUUAUAAAGAACCAUGAUUUUCUUACAGCCCUUUUGAACCCCAUUUUCAAUCACAGGCUUGGUCUUGCCUGUCUUGUGCCAGCGAACAUGCUCCUCGGUUGAACCAUGAAGACUGUGGAUCUUUCGGCGCUUCCUUUGACCAGUAGCAUACGCAUUGGUAGUUCUGUGAAAGAAAUGGAUGCUACCUCCAUCUUUUUUGGCACCUAAAGCAAAUCCAGAAAUGGUAAUCAAAACAAUAGUUUUGUUAAGCCAUAACCACACACAAGUUCAACCCAGAACAAAUGUCAGUAUGAAAUGAUGAUAGUAAAUAUGAGUAAGACGUGAACUUAAGAACUUAAAUGAACUGACUAAGGAAAUUUAAUGGAACUAUUAUGUUUUACAAAGAAUUUGAAGCUACCAUUAAUCAAUAUGAGUCAUCUAUACAAAUGAUGGUAUCAGAUAAAUUCUAAGUUGUCUAGAAAUAACAGAAAACAAGUUUUCUUUUCUUUAUGGGCAAAUGGAUAAUACGAGGUGCCAAGGAACACCCAAUUUACACAAUGGUGCACAGAAGGCACCAAAAAGAAAGGCAAAAAACAAAUGAACAAGAAAGCCCACAAAAAAAGACUAUCUAUUCACAUUUAAGGCUAAACCCCAACAUUGUGAAGAUCUCCAUCCAUCCCCAUUGCAUCCCAAAACCACUCCAACAAAGACUUUAAAAUGGUUUCCUUCAAUCUACGAUCUGACAACUCUUCCUCACAUAAGAUCCUCUUUCCACAUGGACAAAAAUAAACAUAAGGGAGUUACGUGCCAAAUCUUGCUAUCGUCUAGUCUUUUCUCCAUCCCCUUGACCUUCCAACCUAGGAAAAGCUAUUCACUAAGUUUGGGCAUUCAACACAAAAAUUGCUAAAAUAAGAUUCCACAACUUUUUUUGUCCCAUCACAAUGGAUUAGGAUGUGAUUUGUUGUUUCUUCACCAUCAUCCACCUUUCUCUCAUUAGGAUAUCAAUGGCUAGAAUAUUCCCCCACACUACUUCCCAUGCAAAAAAAAGAGAUUCUCAACAGAACAUGGGACCUCCAAACUUCUUUAGCUGUGAACAAUUCCCUACUCUCACCACGUAAAGAACUAUAGUAGGACUAAACAUAAAAUUUUCCUUUCCUAUUUUAUUUCCAUUGUAAUCUACCAGCCCCUACUCCUUGCACUCUUACUCAUACAUUGAAAAUUUGAGCCACCACAUCUAUUUCCCAAUCUUGAAAGUGCCUUCUGCACUGUACAGACCAAAGGCCUUCAGGGUGCUCCAACUCCCAUCCGUUUCCUCAUAUUUGGCAUGGAUGAACUUUCUCCACAUGCUAUCAUACUCAUUGACGAACCUCCAUAAUCAUUUGCCUAUUAAGACCUUAUUUAAAGCCUUCAUCCUCCUGAUUCCCAAUCCACCAUAAUUCUUAUCAUGACAAACAAUUCCCCAACUCACUAGAUGCAUUUUCCUUCCUUCUAGAUGGUUACACCACAAAAAAUCUCCUUGAAUUUGCUCUCAAUCUAAUACCUACUCUUCUGGGAACUGAAAAAAGGGACAUGAAGUACAUUAGGAGGCUCAAUAGGGUCCUCUUUACCCCGUCCUCCUUUAAACAGAUAUUGCUUCUCAUAGGAGGCCAGUCUUUUUCUGAUUCCCUCCUUCACCCAAUCCCACACAGCACAGGAAUUAUGAAAUACUCCUAGAGGUAAGCCAAGAUACGAGGUAGGAAGGCCCCUAACCUUGCAUCUGAAUAGAGAAACCAAUCUGUCCACCCGAAGCAUCUCACUUUUUUGUAAGUUUAUCUUCAAGCGUAAUACAAGUUCAAAACAAACAACAAUCCAUCUCCAGUAUUGAAACUCAUCCACAUCAUCCUUGCAGAGACUAAGUGUAUUAUAUGCAAAUAGUAAAUGAGAGAUAUUUAUCCUUUCUUGCCCUCCAUCCUCUACCUUAAAACACCUUUUAAAUCCACCUGGCUCUACUUUGGCAAUGUGGCAACUGAAUGCCCCCAUAAUUAACACAAGUAGAUAGGGGAAGAGAGGACCACUUUGUCUCAGCCCUCUAGAACUUUGAAAAAAAAAAUGUGGAAGUGCCAUUAAAUAGAAUUGACAAUCUCACAGUGGAUAUGUAGUAAUGAAUCCACUUUCUCCACCUAUGACCAAAACUCAUCUUUUCUAUAAUUGAGAGCACAAACUUCAAAUUUACAUGAUCAUAUGCUUUUUCUAUAUCCGACUUGCAAACUAGCCAAAAACCUCUUUGUUCCAUUUUUUUAGUCUGCCUUCAAGGCUAACAGCCUUUUAACAAGUGCAGGUUUUCACCAUCACUUGGUUGCCAUUUCUUGUAAUGAUCACAUUUUAGGCCAUGGGUUGUUUCCACCUUAGAAUGCGUGUAAAACAUGGAGGAGUCAUUCCAUUUUUACAAGACAUCCAAAAAUAUCCUUUUUCUUAUUACCUUAAGAGGAAGUAUUCAUGGGAGACAACUUUUCAUUACAGCCUUACAUAAGAGAUGAUACUCAGGCAAUCAUGUCCUAGGAUUGAAGGUCAUCCAUAAUGUUUUGGUCAUGUGGGACAGAGGAGUAAUUUGAUUUAAUUCAAAUACAUUAUUAAGGGAAGAGGAAGCCAAAAGAGAAAGUGAUUGAGAUGGUAAGGAAAGGCAUGCUGACCUAUCAUUUGUAAUCUGAUUUAAGUUAAAAGACUUGCAGGUGGUUUCUUCUUUGGACAGAUCUUCUCAUAAGAAGAUGAAAGAAUAAUAGCCUCAAAUUUGCUCUAACUUUUUGUAGUACCCUGCUCAUUUUUUGUAUUUGUACAAGUCUUUUUGUCUCAAAUUAAAGCAGAAAAAAUGGAGUGGAUUUUGGAGCCAUCGUUUGGAUAUUCACUUGCUAUUCUUUAAGGCUUUAACCCUUCAACAACUGGAAUAUAGCACCUAAAGGGAGGGGUUUUAGGAAAGGGAGUGUUCAAAUUAUUGGUUUUUCUAUUUUGCAGCAUUAAAAGAAUUUUAUGUUGUUUCAUUCUUUGAUAAUUUAUUUCAAUUGGUAAUUUUUUGCACAUUAGGUUACCAGUGAUGAAAUACUUAGAACCGCACAAACUGGGAAAGAACCAAACAAAGAUCAGGGGCUUGGAAGUUGCCUCACCAGGAAGAUUCUCUGGAUGGGUGUAGCAGAUUCCUUUAUCCUCCUCAAGUGUUGGGAUGAAUUCAUCAAUAAGUACAUGUGGUUUUCCAUUUCCAACUCCACAUUUUGCUGCUAGAUGUUCUAAAAGCUGUACAUCAGAUGGAUCAAACUUUACACCAGCAGGCAGGCCAGGCCAUUCAUGAGAAACCUGCACAAUAAAAGUUGCAGAACAAAAAUAUUAAGAAAAUUUUGUUUACAUAAAAAAUAAAAUAAAAUAAAAAAAAGAACCCAUAAUUUCCCAAUUAAGUUCAUGAAGAACUUCCAAUGGCAUGAUUUUAAUAUGUCACUGAGAUGACAAUGGGAACCCGAAAAGGAAAGCAACUCAACAUUGAUAGAUAGUUGAGUUUGGAGUGAAUUGUUUCACUGCCUUACAGUUCAUUCAAUCUAGAUUACCUUAUCAGUACUAAAUCAUGUUAUUAUCUGCAAGUAUUUAAUGUCCCGAUCUUUGCUAUCAAUUUAGUUACUUUAAACAAUACUACACGAAAAUUUAAUGUUCUCUUGCAAAUUUAAUUGGAUAUGAAUGAAAUAUUGUAAUCAUGUAACUAUCAUUUAGAGUCAAAGAUUUCAGCUUAGCUUACAUCACUAUUAUCAAUACGAUGAUGGCAAUUUGGGCAUUCACGAUUUGCCCCACAAUCUUUGAUUUGAGAGGCAAAGGAUUGAGUAGCAUUUUUCACUUUCCUUGCUAUUCCUCUGCUGUCAACGACCCAAGUCCUGCAUAAUGAUAUGCUGUAAGUCUGAAGUUUCAACACUGAAAGCAUCUUUAGCCAAAACACAGAAGAAUAAAGAAAAAAUAGUUACAAAUAGAAACAACAGAAGAAAUCAAACAAUGCAAUCAAAUACACCAGAGAAGAAGAAUCCGAUUUCUUCUUCUCCCUAAACAGGAUAACACUCGAAAAGAAGAAUCCGAUCAAGAAAACCUCCUUUUACACACUGAAACAUCACACACAAACAAUGCAAACUUCCACACGAAGCCCACAACAACAUUAACCCAGCAUUCCAUAGAGCAAAAUAAACCAAGUAAAAAUCCCACACCAAUCCAAAUCGAAUGAGAAAAUGGGUUUAUCUGCUGCAUAUGGAUAGGUCCUAAUCCUGCAUUCCUAAGAAUCAGAAGUGGGACUCCCUCAGAACCCAGACGGAAUUCGUUGCCAAAUCCAGAAAAAACAAAAGCAAAAAUCCAAAAAGCAGGAGUAAAAAAGCAAAAGCAAAAGCAAAAUACAAAACAUGUUUCUAGGUAUACCUAGCCAUAUGAGAGGAGAAGAAAUGGAGAACAUUGAGCGAGGGAUGAGGAGAAGAGCUUGCUGCUUUCUACACUACGCUAAGUUUAGUCCAAGUGAGAGAGAGAGCGGGAAAACUCAGCUUAGGAACCGUUAAAGAGGCUCGGAAGGUGAGACUGAGGUUCGGGCGUACAAUAUUCGAGCCACGAUGCCCAAACCAGUGGCCCACCGUUGACCAAGCCUGGCUCCGAGGCUAGAGGUUCGGAUAGACUGUCGGGCACUUAAAACAUCGAAAGUAGAGCAGAGGGGCGUUUUGGUAAUUUAGGAGAAAGACGGCGACUUGCUUGCCAAGCCAAAGAAACGAACGUUUGGGAGAGUGGUAAAUGACGAUUUUGUCACUCUGCUUUAAUCGAUGGUUUUUACUUUUUACUUUUUACAUUUUACUUGGUUGGAUUUGGAAUUUACCAAAAGGCGAGAUGUGAAUGCAUGAAAAAGGUGCAAUUUAAACGAGAGGUCACACAGAAUAAGGGUUUUAUUGAAUAGUGUAGGAUAAUCCAACAUCAAGUCGUUGUAGUAUAGUGGUGAGUAUUCCCGCCUGUCACGCGGGUGACCCGGGUUCGAUCCCCGGCAACGGCGAUCCCUUUUUAUUACGAGUUGAUAUUUUCGGAUUAUUCAAUAGUGUGACCAACCCUCUUCACAUGAAGCUUUUUAUGACUCAUGUAUUGCAGCAAGUAGGCUUAAACCUUUUUUCAUGACCCCACCACAAGAAUGAUAACCACCUGGAUAUAAUCUGUGUGUUUCCCCCUUCAGCUUUCUCACCUUUAGUCAAUCAAGAAUUCCAACUUUUGAAAGAAAGGCUUAAAUGGCAUGGCUGGGUUCAAAGAGCUCAAUCAAAUGUUGUGUGUCACAUUCAUAAGGCUUAAUGUGAAUAGGAGGAUCUGAAUGUCAAUCAGUGGAGAAAUUCUUACAUGAACUUGGAGAAAAGGCAUUUGGAUGAACUUUAUUUUACAAAUGAUAAUACAUCACAGCAACCCCAACUCCAAAACCCUAAAAAGCAUGUUGGGCCUGUCUGAAGAUUGAAGUCCAUGUAAGAGAGUGUGCAAAUUCAGCAGUAGCAUCAGAUUACAAGGCAGCUUCCUAUGGCAACUGAACUCGCAUAUCAGAACAAAUUAACAGUUUCUUUAUCAAGAUGUAGUUUUGUAAUAUUUGAGGCUAUGUAGUUCAUUGUGCUUUUCCCUAACGGUAACUUGGAUACCUCCAAAGAAGAGACCUUGCUCCUCAGGGGAUCAGUAGCAGUGGUUAAAGCAGGAGAAGCAACCUCUUGGGUUGGUCUCCAUACUGGUUUUUGGGGUUUCUCCUGAGCCAUCUCUUACCGCCAUCAACGAACUUGUACCCGGAGACUCUGGUGGCAAGACAGCAUUCUCAGAAGUGAAAACCCUCGGUGGGACCAUGGGCUCCGGCGGUGAAAUAGUGGAGAGAUAAUGUAGGAGCAUCUGUAUUAUUUGGCUGAAGUUAGGCCGAGUAUUUGGGUCCUCUUUCCAACAUGAAGUGACAAUUAAAGCCAAGUCCUCUGGGAGGUCCUCGGCACUAGGCCUCAUAUUCUGAAAAAACAAAGGAAAGCUGUAAGUCAAGAUGACUUGACGGCUAUAAAAUAUGAGAGAAAUAUUUAAAGUAAAAGUGGGAAGGUAAGAAAUCAUUAGUCAGAUAGUAUGUUGACUACAAUUAACUGAGGCACCUAUCAAAUGUGCUAUCAUUCAGCAUCUCUAUCCAUCAUGCCAUUCUUUUAGAAAAAAUAACAUGUAGGGCCUCAGUCCCUAAAUGCAUUCCUCACUCACAUCUAUGGUGAUUGGUGCCUAAUUGCGUUUGGACACACCUAAAGAAAAACAACUUCCAAGUGCAUUGUUAGAGAAUUCUCAUCCAGAGGUCCCAGAGAUGUUCCAAUCAAGCAAUUUUUAAAAUUUCAGCCAUUCAAGCAGUAUUAAACUUGCAGUUUAAGGAUAACCUCAAGAAACCCUAGUGAAGCAUGUUUUUAAAUCAAGUUCCCACCCAGUUAAUUCAUGAUUCUCAUUGGCAUUGUUCCAGUGAGAGAAUAUGUGAUUAUCGCCUCUGAAACCCAAAAAGAUGGGGGAGGGGGAAAAAAGGAGGAGGAUUGUCUGCAAGUCAUUCUUAAAAUAAGCAAGCACCCUACAUCUCCUGGAUUUUGGGUAAGUGGAAAAGAACCGCUAUAAAAGAGGACUAUUCUGUAAUCAUCACAGGAGACACACUGCAGUUCACCUUCAUUUUCCUUCAAUCCUUUUUCCAGUGUCACAAGGGGAUCUUAUACAGAAACUAGUUUUCAUUCCAUUCUUCCUUGAGAAAAGCUUCUAAAUGCAGCCUCAAAACAUCUUUUGCAAACCAUUUUUUUAAGCAGGUAACAUUGGCUUAUAAUGUUUUUUGUCUAGGGAAGGAAGUCAACAGAAAGAUUAGGUGAUUAGGAACAUAUAAUCCCAAGGGAAGAGAUAAUUACCUUAAAAGCAGCUGCAUAGGCUGCCUGCAGAUUUGACAUGCCUUCAAAUGGCAACUUAUUAUGAACGAGUUCCCACAGUACAAUAGCAAAGCUGUAGGCAUCCACCUUGUGAUUGUAAUGCUUCUUCUCUCCAUGCCUCAAUGUUACUGUGCUAUAAAGCUACAACAAAGUGAAAGGUGAAUGGUCAGCAUUCUGGAGUCCCCUUCCCCAUUCACCAACAAAAAUAAAUGAAUGAAUAAAUAAAAGCAUUAAGUGUUAAGUACCUCUGGAGCCAUCCAACGAUACGUUCCAGUUUCGGCAGUCAUCAUCUCUGUUAAUGACUCUUCUCUGGCUAAGCCAAAAUCCGCAAGUUUGACAGUUUUGUGAUCUGCAGUCAGGAUCAAGUUUUCUGGGAAAAGGGAAGGAAAAAAAAUUGUCAAGCUUAUUAUCAUAUCUGCCUCUUUUGGGAAUCACUUCAUCAAUGAUAUUUUGCAUCUAAAACAUAAUUCAGCUUAUAUAAAAAUGAUCAAGUUCUUCGGGUUAUGUAGAACGAAACCAUUAUACUAUGGAUGCUCAUAUGCGUGUGUGUGUGUGUUACUUAUGUGUAUUUAAAAGAUUAACAAAUUCUAUUUGGCACCAAAAAAGGUAAUGGAAGAUACAAAACAGUCAAAUGCAAAUGUGAUAGAAACAUAUGUAGCCUAUGCCAAGUGUUGGCCAACAAUUUCAACAUAGUUAGAUAUUCAACCAUAUCUAAAAAGUUGUUGGCAGCAAACUGCCAUUAAGUGUACUGUUUACAAGUUUGAGUCUGUUUCCCUAGAUCCAUCCAUUCAUUUUGGAAUUUGGAAUUCCCACAGAAAAGAUAAAUCUUUAUUAAGGAUGCCUGUGACAUUGAGUGAUGCAACUCAAGGACUGCCAAGGAAAAGCGAGAGAAGUGACCCACUUGAUGAUCCUAAAUCCAAAUCAUGCAUUCAAGCUCGAUAGCGUGCACCAUGCUUGUGAAACAUCAAUUGAAUCUUCAAACUUUGUGCAUCAAAAAACAUGCUCAAAAAUAAUCUCAGCUGGUUUCACCAACAAAUCCAAUUGUACAACCCAUCUUUCAUGAAAAGAAAUAGUAAAAAGGGUAACAAGAACAAAAGCAUCGCCUUGAAUAUUGAUUUGUGAUUACCAUAUUACCGUAAGGCAUCAGUCCAUAAGAAAUCUUACAAUGUAUGUAUUCCAUUUCCCAAAAGACCGCUUUAUUUUUUUCCACUUCAUGCAUAAAAUCUCACACACAUGAGAUAAUAGAAAAAGGUUUACAGUUCUCAUUCCAUUUCAAGAAUUUCUCAGGCAACCAAAAUCAAUCAAACAUACUUAAAACUAUUUGGGAACUAAUUAAAAAUGGCAAAUAAAAGUGUCUUGUGAGCCCAUGAUCAUGGACAAUCAUGGAAGAUACCAUUGGAGUAUAUAAACAAAUCACUUUCAAUACAAGAAUCCAAGCAGGUGAAUCUGUGCAAGUGAAGAGAAAUAAAAGAAUUGAACUUAAAAUUUUUGCUUAGUUAUUUGGUGGGUUAUCCAAAAAAAUAAAUAAAUUAGGCAACUGAGAAAAGAAAAUUGCUUAGAGUAAAGGGGAAAAAUGGCCCUUUUGGAUGUUUUUUAACUAGAAACUGCAAAUCAAAAUGUGGCAUCUUGGUCAUUUUAAAAAAAAAAAAAAAAACAGUAUUUUCAAUUUUUUAUUUAGAUCAAAAUAUUAGAAUUGAUAUUAUCUAAAAUUUUGAUUUUGAUAAACUAUUUUUUUUUUUAAUUUGUAUCAACCACAUUUAACAGAAUACUGAUUGUAUGGAAUUUUAUUGAUCUAAAUUAAAAAACAUUUUUAAUUAUUUUAUAAGUUAAUUUAUUUUUUAUCUCAAAUUUAGGUAAAUGUUAAAUUCUAAUAUUAUUUGAUUGGGAUAAAAAAAUUAGAUAAAUAAUAAAUUUUAAUGUUAUCAUAGGAGAUGUUAAAGAAUAACAAGGAAGCAGCAUAAUCAAGAUGUGGCUUUCUGAUAUCUUGCUUAUGCACCUUCACGGUUAGCAUUAAAAGCCCCAUAUACAGGAUACGAUUUCAAAUUUUGCAAAAAACAAAAAAAACAAAAAAAUGUUUUGUACAAAAAAACAAACCUCAUGACCAAGAUAUAGUUUCACAUCUAACUAGGUUAUGCGACUUCAGUGAUGAUAUUGAAAAGCUCAAAAUCAAAUCCGAUUUCAGAUUUUGUUUGAAGAAAAAGAAAAAAAAAACAACUCAUGUCAUUUUGUUAAUAUAUAUUCUAAAAAAAUUAAUAUUAAAAAAAAAAAAAAAGACCUCUAUUCAGCUAUGUGCAAAAAGGAGCUAGAUUCAACAGCAUUUUCUCGGGGUUUCCUAGACUCCACAUAUUUUUUUUUACAAAAAGGGUCAUUUUGCCAUAUCCAUCACUUUCAGACCUUUUCUGCUAGGGAAGCAAAUGAUACCCUCACACAAAAGUUCUCAAGUGCACCACCAGCUUCAAUUUUUCAGCUUUGGACCAAAGUUAUGCCGUUGGGGAUCUUCGUAUCCACAAGUGAAAAUAUUCAGCUUAUGCCUUUACGAAUCUUCAUAUCCACAAGCUUAUCUCUGUGAAUUUGGUUUAAACUUCUUGCUGAAUAGCUCUUUCUAGUUAGCCCAUAGUACAACCACAAGAAUCACGUAAAUUGCAAUUUAUUCAAAAAUACUGAUUCCCAUAUCCUAGAGUAUGGGGUUUGAGCAAGCCUCGGGCUCUCAUGCAGACACACCCUAAAUCAUACCCAACAACAAUAUUCAUGCCGAAGAGAAAACAAGCAUCAAAUAUAAAUCACAGCCUCACAGCCUCAAGUCAAUCAACCCUCUGAUAACUCAAAAUCAUGCAAGAGGCAGCAUGACCAUACUUGAAAUAAGUUCUAGAACUGCUUAAGUGCCAGUAUUGAAAAAUGAAACUAGGUUGACAAUUGCUAACUAUGCAAGGCGAGCAGGUAAAAUAUGUUAGGGAACAAGCUUGUAAACCCCUUAAAUAACCAAAUUAUAAAAAGAUUACAUUUAGAGUAAUAUGGAUGCUUCCUACCAUCCAUAGAUUCACAAUUUUCCUUUAAAUCUGCAUAGUGAGGUGGGGUUUAAGACCAGAUGCAGUAUAAAUGAGGAUUCCAAAACUGAUAAAGCAGUAGAGGUUCAUCAAACUACUAUGCAACUGUUUGUAGGAAAUUCUCACAAAAUGCCACUAAUUCAAACUCAAUAUGCUUAAUUAACCAAACAAGAAGGUAAAUGAUAAUGAAAUCAUACCAGGUUUCAGGUCACGAUGUAUGAUCCCAUGAGAAUGUAAGCAUUCCAUUGCUCGAGCAAUGUCCAGUGCAAAACCAACUGCCACCUUUGUAUCCAAGCACCUUGGCCGCAGGUUCAGCAGGUAUUUUCGUAAUGUCCCACCUAAUAGAAGCUCAGUAACUAUUACCAUGACAGGUUCCUUGCAAGCGCCAAUGAACUGGUCAUACAAAGCUUAUUAGGUACUGGGUAUAUGCCCAUUUCAGAAAUUAGUGCACCAGAUUCAAUCGCAAUUCUCAAAGAUUUCUAAUUGCUCAGAAAUAUUCUACACAGAAAAAUUAUUGACUACCUUCACUAAAUUUUUGUGUUGAACUCUAGACAGCAUUGCAACCUCUCUUGCAAACCGGCCUUCUCUCUUGGCAAUCUCCUCUGGUGUUUCUCCUCUGUGAACAAUUUUAAUAGCAACAUUCUGGUUCUUAUACCUGGGGAAAAAGAAUAAGCUAAAUAGUGAGGACCCAUAUUUUAAUAGGAUCAACUGGAGUUGAUCGGAAAAACUGAUCCCAAAACUGAAAUUCACAAAGCCAACAAUUCUAAUUGUUUCUCAUUCCCACCCAACCAAAAAAGUAAAGCUCUCAGAAAAGAAAACGAGGGGUUUUGAAUCCCACCCUGUACAUUAUUUUUAAUCUCAAAAACAGACUCCCAAUAUGUCUGGUUUUAGAAAUCUAACAGUUGUUCCUCUCAAUUUUUGCAGUGAAAAAAAAUAGAAAAUAAAAAGAGAUAAUUCAGGGUUAGAUUAAUAAAGCAACAGAAACAGGAACUCCCAAGUGGUAGAGCGGAGAAAACUGAGAAAUUGAUCAAAGAUCAGAAUCAAGACAUGUUGACUUACUUUCCUUCAUACACUUUGGCAUGAGCACCUUCUCCAAUUCUCGGUCCAACGAACAGUAGCUUAGGAUCGACCAACCACUUGGCAUCUAAAUUGAACUCCUCCGACUCGUAGAACCCAUUCCCAGAUCCCAUUUUUCCCCUCAAAUCAAUAGCUGAAUUAGCAUCUACUCAAUAACCAAGCCAAAACCCUUGUGUUCGUCACUCAUUUGAAGCAAACCAACUACAAAAAUCGCGAAACAGUGGAGUACAGGAAGACAUGCACCGCUCGGUUUCACAGACCCAUCUCAUUCCCGAAGAUUUAAAAAAAGGGAAAAAGAUUGAGAGAUGCUUUUGUUGAGGAGGCAAAGAAUAAAAACCCACAUGUUUCAGAAACACCCACCAACAAUCCCAGAAAAGAAAAAUAAAACAAAGCAAAACCCAAGAAGCAGUGUCAGAAACAGAGCAUUUAAAGCUCUCUUGGGAAUGGAGGGAGCCAGGAAAACCGAGAAGGGAAGGUAGAGAUACAGAGGAAAACUGAAAUCCCAGAUUGGAAAAGAGAUUUGGAGAAGUGGGUGGGUGGUGGUUUGAGACUAUUAAGUCUUUUUCUCCGCGUGUGGAACUGCCCUGCUCUCGAUCUACAGAUAAAGCCGCGGAAGGAAUUGAGUCUUUGUCAGAGGAACAGUGGGUUUUGGGAUAGAAAAAUAUAGAAAAAGGAAGGAGAGGAGACAACGCUGGCUAGAAAAAUUGGAGGAAUUGUGGAUGCUGUGAAGAUAUAUCGCAUAUAUGAUGCAAUAAAUUAUACUUUACAUAUACUGAAAUUCAUAAAUUAUUAUAGUGGGAGGUACUGAAGAGAAAAAAAAAAGUAUUGAAUAGCACAUGGAUAUUCAUCCUCAACAUGGGGACAACACCGCUCCACCCACAUCCAUGGCACCCUCCUCUUCACUCCCCUCCCCACCCCAACUCCAUUUCCUCAUUUCUUCUUCCAUUUUUUCCUUAUCAAACAUUCAUUCUUCAGAUUUUUCUUCCAUUUUUUCACAGAAAUGCUGAUUUUCAACAACUUUCUAGAUUUUCUUUUCCCUUCUGUUUUUUAUUUGAUUGUUUUGGUAGAACAAAGGUGUGUGUGAAAGGCAAGCCUCAUUGACCUUUCUAAUCCUAACAAAUUUGAAAUUGGAAAUUGUAACACACCGACAUGGUCUUUCCUUUGAACAGGACAUUACUCCUCAAAGAAGAUAUCCAUCCAUACAUCACCAUUCCUGAUAUUUCCUUGAUCUUUAAUCAUUUCGAUUAAAAGGGAUUAUGUAAAUGAUGCCAUCUUUUCACUUUCCAACCUUGAACGAAUCAUUAAUUUUCCCCAAUGUGUUGAUGUAGUCGCUGGUUUUCACAGAAACAUCCAUGAUUGGGCACCCUAAGUUGCAUGAACAUGGGCUCCAUUGAUAGGGUAAAUGGUUUCCAUCUACAUGCAUGAUGAAUGAUAAUAAUUGAGUAGAGAUUUUAAUUUAACACUUUAUAUUAUAAUUAAAUUUACAUUUAUGAUAUAAUUAAUGUGUCUUUUUUAGGAAUAUUCUUUUUCAAUAUGAUGUAUUUAUCAGCAAUAAGUGCAGGUGGACAAAAUUAUUCGAAGUAGUAGCAUAUAAUAGCGGUCCAAUAAUGAACCAAAUUAUUUCUCGAAAUAAAAUUUCAUUAUUAAAAACAAAAUUGGACUCAACAAAUUCCUAAUAUUCUGUGUAUAUUAAAAAAAAGGAGGAAGUACAAAAGGGGGUGGUGGGGAGGGGAGGCGUGGACAUGAUGUCGGUGUGCCACCUAACCCUUCUCUGGGGCCCCACGGGACUGAGCUUUUGUGGGCCUCACCCCGCUUGGACUUUUGGCCCCCAAAACACAUGACAAAAUUCUUUUGUUUUUCCCCCUGAUUUUAUUGGACUUUUUCGCAUUGGACCUGUGACUUGCAGCCAGUCGGUGGGUUUGGGCCUUCCAGAGUUGACCACCUGAUUUCCCUUUUACAAUUACUAUCCCUGCAUCAGACGGUCCCAGACCCACCUGAUCUUGAUAACAUUUCAAUGGUUAGGAACUUAGGAAAAAGGGUAAAAAAAAAAAAAAAAAACCAAUAAUAACCCUUUUCCCAUGUUCUUUGACUUUCCUUUUUCUUAAAAAAGAAAAAAGAAAAUUCUUUUUGGGGGAGGGUGUGGGAAAUUGGAAUUCAACUGUUGACAGGUGCUUGUGCCGGUCACGUGAUGUGAGGGGAGGGGAGGGGAGGGGGGAGAGAUGGAAGACAUGUGACAUGACGCUUUAGAGAAAUGGGGGAUGUGGAUAACUGUGGGCAAGAUAAGGAGGCCUUUACAUCUAUAGAAGUGUUGAAUUCACAUGGUUCCUGUGCUUUCUAUUUUUGACCUUUUCUUGUUAUUAUGGGGUUAGGGGAAAUUUAAUCAAAUUUUAAUUCUCCCACAUUAUUUAUAGAGACGUAAAUAAAUCCUUCUAGAAUCGUGUCAUGCCAGCCGUGCCCUGAGAAAUUGAAGUCAAAUACUUUGAAUGCUAAGUUGAAAAAACUGAAGAUAAAUUAGUCAUGGGUGAUUUAGAAAAAAGGGUGGAAGCAUUGAUCACAAGGGGCCAGAGGUAGGAGGGGGAGAAAGACUUUCCCACAUCGGAAUUGUGUUGGUUUGUGAUGGAGGCGGCGACAUGUUUGAUUUGAAGUCAAGGGAUGGAGUGUGAAGGUGAUAUGAUUCAGGUAUUUGCUUUUAGCGUGGCCGCAUGGCCACCAGGCAAAGGGUAUUGCAGCAUGGGGAUGGGUGUUGUUGAGCAGCUUUUUCCACAAUCAUCUUGUCGAGUCUAAAGAGGGAUGCUCCUUGAUUGCUGCCAAACACCUUUUUUUUUUUUUUUAGUACAAGCACGUUUUAAUUGGAUUAUAUAUUUUUCCCAUCCAAUUUAUUAUCAAAUUUGUAUUUAAAUAAAUAAAAAAUUUGCAUUACCAUCAAUCAUGGUCUUUCAUAUCAUAGAUUUUCGUGUAUAUUUGAAGGGUGAAUGAUAUUAAUGAGCACAUUCAUAGUCAUUUUAGAAAAUAUUUUUAAAUAUAUAAAAUAUUAAAAAAAAUUAAGUAUUCGAUAAAAUUUAAUAAAUAUUUAAAAAAAUUAAAAAAUCAUUUAUAUUGUUUUAUAAGAAAACACUGUUAGGUGAUUUUUCUAAAAAAAUAUUUUUACAUCAAAUGUUUUGAGUAAAAAUACUGUAAACUCGUUUAAGAAUGAUUUUAUAAAAUAUUUUUCACCUUAAACGUGUUUUUUUUUUAAAUAAAUUUGAUAUUUAAUAAAAUUUAUAAAAUACUCCUAAAAAUCUAAAAAAUUACUUAUAAUAUUUUUUAGAUAAAUAUUAUAUAUAUGAUUUUUUUUAAAAAUACUUUUGGAGAAAAACACUACCACUAAAAACAAUUCGAAUAAAAUCAAUGCCAAACAUGUUGUACUCCUUGUGAAAAAGUGGCUUCUUAUUCCAAACAAACUUGCAUUAUUUGAUCUAGAAGGAAAGUUGAAUUAUCGUACUAGAGAAGAUAAGCUUGAAGGUUGGGUGAUUUUGAAAUGUUUGUUUUGGAAGAUAUCCUUUCAUGGUCAAAUCAGUGUCUAUAUGUUGUGAGAGCCAUGAUUACAAUAGCUAAUGAAAUAUUUAAUGGGAAAAAGGUAGAGUUGAAUUAGUGCUCCUUUGACCAUACCAAUAAAUAGAAUGUUGAUGAAAGAACGUCAAUAGUGAGGAGACACGUGUCUAAUACAAAUGAUGAAAAUCUAACCUACAAAAUUAAAAUCCUAAGAAAUGAAUGGCAUGUUUGGUUUUUUUUUUCAAUAACUAUUUUUUGUUCUUAAAAAUAAAAAACAUAAAAAAUGUGUUUAGGGAAGGGAGUAUAUUUUUGUUUUUGUAUUUUUUGUAUUCUCAAAAAUUACUUUUUUUAUAAUAAUAAAAAAAUAGUUUUAUUGUUUUUUUACUGUUCAAAUAAUAGUUUGCUUUUUGUGUUUUCUCUUCCUUCUUUUUAUGUUUUUUUAGCUGUUUUUUGUUUUUUAUAAAAAUGAAUUUCACCCAACCACCACACUCUCACCCGCAAACUCUUUAUUCGUCCUUAAAUUAUUGAAAUUAAUAUAUUUAUACAUGGAAAAAAAAGUCAUUAUUUGUUUAAGAAAAUUAUAACUGUUGUAAAAUUUUCAAAAUGAAAUUUUUUUAAUUUAAAUGAAUUGUGCAUAUGAUAAUUAUUUAUAAUAUCAAGUUAAUGGAAAAAUAAUUUAUUAAUUAAAAAUAAUAAUUUUCAAACAUGUUUUUUGUUUUACUUAUUCUAUUUUUUUUUAUUAACUCAACCAAACAUGUUUUUUAAAAUAAAAACUAUUUUUCAGAAUUUAGUUCCCAAAUACAAUUUUUUUUUUCUUUUCUGAAAACACAAAAAACCAUUCUUAAAAACUAUUUUCAAAAACUGUUUUCCACAAUAGUUUUAAAAAAUAACAACCAAACAUACCCUAAAUUACUUGCAGAAUAAGAAAAUUCAUUACUGAGUGCCUUUAUAAAUAUUAUGUGUUAAGGAGAAAAGGUUAUAAGGUUGAGAUGAGAUUGAAAAUACUAUAUAUUGUAGAUAAAGAGCUAAGGACGAAUGAGAGAUACUCGGAGAACCAUAUUGAAACUUUGUGUACCUUUGUAUCGAUUAUUUUAUCUUUGUGUUAGUAAACUAAUAUUGUUUGCAUUAAGGUUUUCGCUAACACAAUAAAUUGGUAUUAGAACCUAUAUUGAAGAUCUUUAGAACAAAGCACACGAGAUAAUAACAAAAGUAUCAAAUUACUAAUUUUCCUAAAAACUUAAACUUAUACUAUUUAGACUCAAUAUUUAUAUCAUGUUCCUUAAUACUCUUAUUCAUGUGUGGUCUUAUACUUGCACCUGGAGAGAGAUGACAUAAAAUUGCAAAUUGGGGGGAGAGAUACCAAAUAAUUGCAAAAGGGGAGGAAAAACAAAUAUGCAAAUUGUGUAAAGGUAGCUCAAAUCUAUAACCUCCUACCAAACUAAGCUCUAAUACCAUGUUAAGUUAUUAAUUUUCUUGAAAGUUUGAACUUGUAGAAUUUAGGUGCAAUACACAUAUCAUGCUCUUUAAUAAAAAAGAAUUUUAAUUAAAGUUAAAGUUGAUUGGAAUAUGAUACAAAAAGUGUGUAUCAUCGAGAUUUAUUCAAGAUAAAGAUUGUUGGAAAGUAUCUCAAUUUCUAAUUAGUAUAAAUUACUUUUUGUAAAGAAUAUUGUAUAAAAUAUUUUUUAAAUUGAUAUAUUAUUGUAUAAAUAUUUUAAGUCAUGAAGAUGAAAAGUUAUAAAAUGAAAAUGAAUUUGUAAAACUAUAUAUGCCGUGGAUAGAGAUACAAGGGGUUUGAGAUUCAAGUUUGGAUACAAAGAUCGGGGAAACACCCAUAUUUCGGGAGUUUAAUAAUUAUAUUUGGUUUUAGUUUUUCAUGGUAUUCUUUGUGAUAUAGUAGACUAAUUCUCUCUUAUACGUGGAUGUAAGCAUGAUUGCUAAAACAAAGUUAAAACACUUUUUUUUUAUUUUCUUCCUAUUUUUCGGAACCGAACAUAGCCUAUAUACUCAUGUUUGAAAUAUAGUCUCAUUUUUUUACAAAUCCUAUAAUACUUCAGUUAAGAUGGAAAAUGACAGCCACCAAAUCUUUUAUGUUUUCACUAAAGGCCCGACAAACAAAUAUUUCAAAUCUUUUAUGUUUUCACUGAGGGCCCAACAACAAAUAUUUUGAGAAAGCUAUUGGCUAAGCAUCAUGUUGUUCUUCUGCAAUCCAAGAAUGGAGUGUCCAAGGGGAGUUCCAUCUUGUGGGGCAUGCCACAUCAGCUUCAAUCUUUGCUAGAGAACCUCUCAUCUCCACCAGUCAAACCUACAAUGAUAAAGCCAAGCAAAUCACUUGAUUCCCUCCCCUGAUUUUGGGUUAUCACUAUAUCAUCUCCAAUGAUCUUGGGCCAAUGACUUAAAUCUUCCUCAAUUGAAUCUGCAAUCAAUACAUCAUUGAAAAUAUUUGCUGUCACGAUAUUCUCUGUUCUAAUAGCUUUAUCAUCUAAUACUCCAAUUAUUUUUUCUUUCAUUUUCUACAUAUUUUUUUUAGUUUGAAAUUUAAGAAAUAUUUUUGUUUUUUUUCCCUUUUAUCACAUGCCAUUAAAUUUGUAGGAGAGGUAUUUCACCAAGGAUUAUCAUAUUUUUUAAUAUUUAAAAGAUACAAAUUUUCAAGUGUUAAAACACUCUAUAGAAUUAUUAUUAUAUGUACUUUAAAACACGUUUGAUAUUAGAGAAAGUGUAGAAAAAUUUUAGAUUACCUUUUUGAAAUGCCCUUUACCAUUCAAUUCUUCGUGCCAAGUUGUUGUGAAUGAACCAUACUAAAAUCAAGAGCCAUUCCGUUUUAUAGUACAAAAAUCUUUCACUUUUUUUUUCCUUCUUUCGGUCUUUUCCAAUAGAAAAGUAAAAGUGACAGGAAUUUUUUUUUAAAAAAACUUUUUAUUAGGAUAGUUUUUUUGAUAAUGCCAAUUCCCAGAAACUACCCUUAAUAUCUUAUUUUGUUGAAUCAGGUAAGGUUAGCCUGACUUGGACACCCACCCAACUCUAACUGUGUUUUUAGUUUUUCUAAUUUUUAAAAGAUAAAAAUUUUAAAGUGUUAGGAAUAUUAAACACACUUUAUAGAAUUAUUGUCAAAGUCAUUUUUAAUUUCUAUGUUUUUAUAAUUUAGGUUUUGUUAGAAUGUUGAAAAGUUUAGGAAAAGGCAUAUGAAAAAUAGAUAAAAUGAAUGAAGGGAAAAAGAAAAGGUAAGGAAAAAUAAAUUUAAUUGAAUAAUUAAAAUUUUCUUAUUUAUUUUUUCUUUCCUCUUUUAUGUAAAGAAUUGUAUACUUUUAUAAAUAAUUUUUUAUUAUAUGGAUUUUCCUUCGUAUAUUUGACUUUUCUAAUAUUUUCUAUGAUUCAGAAUAAUACAAAAGAAUUUCAAUAAAAAAGAAAAAAUAAUUGAAGAAAAAUUUAAAAUAAGUUAAAUGGGUCCGUCCGACCCGUGGCCAAUUCGGUUCCAAACCAAGAUUUGUCGGGUCAGUCCGACCCGGAGGGUAGUCGCGCACAGUAGGGGCGCUUCCGUUUUUUUUUUUGAAAAGAAUUAGCCACGUGGCAAUGGGUUUAUGGCAUAUUCAUUCGUUGGCGCCAAGGGUUUAAACCCUAAAAGGGAGCACCACAAUUGCAGAACUCAGGCAUGGCUUCACUCAACCUUCACUCUCUUCACUCCCUUCACUCUCCUCCUCACCCAUCACGAUUCUCAUCCCAUUUCCUGAAUACGAUUUCACUUCAAUUUUCCUCUCCAAUUCCGUUCCCAACUCUAAUUAUUCGCCAAUUCAACCGAAUCUCGAGACCCUAUUGUUUCAAUGAACAAAUGGACGUCCCUCUUGAUUCAUCCUCAGCUUUGUCCACCACCAUGGACAAAAGCGCUGACCUAGUACUGGAUAGCAACAAAAAUGAAUUGAUUCGGAACGCUGUGUGGGUGGGCGUGGCCACGAUCGCUAGCAAGAUUCUGGUAUUUCUUUUUCUAUACAUUUUGUUUGGUUGCUGAGAGAAUUUAAUUCACGGGAAGAAAUUGAAUAGAAGAUUGACGCUUUUUUUAUUUAUUUAUUAUUUUCUGAACUGAAUUUACUUGAGAAACUUUUGCUCAGCAAACAAAGAUUGGUAAACGUGCUUCAUUUUUAUUUAUUUUUUAUUUAAUGGUGUAGGGAUUACUCAGGGAGAUUGUUCUAGCUUCAGUUUUCGGGAUAGGCCCGGUGGUUACUGCAUUCAAGUAUGAAUGUAUAUAUAUGUUCUAUUUUGUGCAUUUUCCAUUCUUUAUUUGGUGUAUGCGUACUACGUAUGACAGGAAUUAUGAUGUGGGCUAUCAACUAGAAAGUACCAAUAUAAUUAUUUUGGCAAAGAUUCAGUACUAAAGAAAGAUUUCUUUGCUAUUCUCGGCAUACAAUACAAGCCAGAUUGAUGGUUCUUGUAUCACAGCUUUUGGGUUUGGAACUGGAUUUAUUCAAAUUUUUGGGGGAUAAAGACAUGACAUGUGUGAGCUGGUUUGGAUGUCAAAUCAUGCAAAAUAUUCAGGGGGAUAUUAUCCAUGUUAAUUAUCACCCUUUUUUUGUUACCUGUUUUAAUUAUUGACUUAUUUGUUGAAAGUUUAUUCUGUUAAAGACACUUAGUUGUUGUCAAAUUACACUUUUUACAAGUUCAUUUAUUUUGACUGCAAUGUAUGCAUGUCUGUGUUUCAGAUAUGCUUCAGUGAUUCCUGGCUUCACUGCAUCGCUUUUGGGUGGUGAGUUUUUUCAAGAUUAUCGAUUCAUUUCAAAUUUGAGUACCAAGUAAAUGAUAUGAUUCACCUUAUAAAUGCUGAUAUUAAAGGAAAAAGUAUUCUUCUAAAUACGUUUACGGUUAGUUGUAGUCACUGUUGAUUCUGUAAUUUAGAGGCAAGUGUUUUCUCUGAUAGCCAAGCAUUUAUAUAUGUUAACAGCACCCAACAUAAGGAGGCAAACAUAGGUAUGCGGAACAUAUAUAAAAGUCACUCAAUGCAACAUAAAAGGAAGAGAAACAAAACAAAAUAAAAAAAGGUCCCCUCCACUUAGGCUGUGCCCAACCAAUCGAUGAAAUCUAAUAUAGACAUUGGCUCCUCAUACCUAGCAUAAAGCAAAGAGGAACACCAGAAAUAAUUUUUGAUAGCCUAGAAUAAGCACAAUGGAGCAGUCCUUCUCACCUUUCUUCUUUUCUUACCCACACAAGUCCGCUACCAACUUAAAAGGGCCUCUUUAAUGAGGGAGGGAAUCACUAGAUCUAUGCCAAACAACAAAAAAAUCAAAUUGCAUGAUGUCCUUGUUGUAGUACAAACUACAAAGUCCUUAGAGAUGAAUGUUUUUAUAAAAAUUAUAAAUGAUAUCAGUCUCUCAAUUUUUGUUCCUAUGCUACCAUAAGCCUUGUUUGUAAGACCACUUAUGUUUGCAUCUGCAGCAAUUAUAUACUUUUACUGAAUUGUAUAAAACAGUUUAAAAUGUAAAAAAUGGUUUUCUGUACAUUAUUUUUGUGCUUAUUCAAUGUUAUAACUAGUUGGAACUUCAUGCAGGUGUAAAUGGUCCUAUCCACAUUACUAUGGCUACCACUCUAAGGUUGUGCAUCCCACCUGUGGUGUGAGCAUUUUAAUCUACUGAACAUCAUCAUUUGUUAUUAGAGUAACUGGACAUACAUGCCGCAUAAAGGUUGACAUACUUUCAUUUAUUUCUUUUGCUUAAUGAUGAUUUCAUAUUAGUCAUUUUUUUUCAUGAUAGGGGUAACUGUCCAGUAUUCUUUUUGUGGAUAAUCUUAGUGGGUUAUAAGGAGUAAGCUCUAUGUCGUUAGUCAUGAUUCUUUUUUCUUUUCUAAGUUACACUAGAAGGAGCACUAGGAUUAUGAUUAGAGCUUCGGUAAAGGGUAUUUUUAGUUUUAUUAGUUUCAUUAAUUUCUUACAUCCAGAUAUGUAGGUUUGUAAUAGAUUCACAGUUUGCUAGCCUACAGAAACAAAGAAACGUAAAUCUGAGUUGUUUUUGCCAGUCUUCAGAAAGGAAAGAAAUCAACUAUUGACUAAGUGAGAUUGCUGGUACUUCAUGUACUUGUGUUUUCAAAUGGAUUUUUGUUGAUGUAAUGAAUGCACAAGUUUUGAAGACAUGGAACUCCAAUACCUAACAUGGGAAAGAUUCUCUGUUAAAAAAAUGUAAAAAAUAAUUUGGCUUUCAUUUUGUGAUUAACUAACUACUGGUGUAUGCUAGGUUGCUAGCGUAUGGUCCAAGAAAAAGAAUUGCUCAUAUGUAUAUUGAUAAGAUCCUUUUUAAUCUGUUCAUGAGGAUUAUUUGUUAAACAUUUACCCUAGAUUUUGAUAUUUGUGAAUUGCCCAUUGCUGAUCAGCAAGCUUCCAGAGGUGCGGAGGAGGAAGCUGUUUCAACAUACAAAUGCUUUCAUGUUCCUGGUAUACAUAUCAUAUGGUUGUCCAAAUCAUCCUUUGUAUUUUGGAAAGGCAUUUUCAUCCUUUGCUUCUAUUUGAAAUUCAUAUCAAUGAAUAGUUUGUUUUUGAUUUAUAAAAUAAAAUCAUAUGGUUAUGUAUGGUUCUCCAUCAGUACCUCAUCUGCAUCUUGUGGGUUCCUUUCUCACAUUUGUGGAAAUUAUUUUUCUGAUGCAGGUAGGAGCUGCUGUGGGCUCUGUUGUGUUUGUAUUUGCUGAGUCCAUUAUUCAUAUUUAUGCUCCUGGGUAAGAAUUCUCGAAGGUUGAACAAAAUUUAUAAUGAGAAAAAAGCUCGGUAGGUAUUGUUAAAGCUGAGUUUUCAUGGAUCUCCAGUAUGUUGUAGGGUUAUGCAUGUAGAUGCAAAUUCCAUGGUUACAUUAUCAUCAACAAAUUCUGUUUUAAUUUUUUUUUCUUUUUUUUUUUUAAAUUAUAUCACUAUUAUAUCCAAAGAGAGAAAAAAUAAACAUCAACAUGAAAACAAUUCAUUUUGCAUGGAUCUAUGAUCUGGUGUUUUUUUUUCUUUUUUUUUUUUUUGAUAGACAACACAUGCAUUAAAAAACACCAAAAAGGAGGGGGCACACCCUAAGUAUACAGGCUGUAUAUACAGAAAAAAGCCAAAUCACAUCUCAUACAAAGAUGGUCCACACUAACAAACAAAGCAUGAUAUGAUGUAUUUUAGCUCGUAUUGGAUGUUUAAUACCCAAAUGUUUUCUUUAUUUAUUUUAUGCCUUUGUCACAUUCUUAAUUUUUUAAAUCAUUUUUAUAGUUUUUAGGGAUUGUCUGUCUUUGCAUUGCAACUGAAACUGAGUUAUGUCACUGCUAUUGAGUUGGAUGAUAUUAUUUCAUACCAAAUUUGGUAUCAAUACUUUGAAGCAUUGGUGAAGUGCACUGCAUGCUUCCUCAUGCAUUUUAGAAAACUACAAUGUUUUCAGUUAUUUUUAUUUUUAUUUUUUACUUAUUUGUUUCUUUCCAAAGUUUGUUCUUUCAAAUAUUAAUAAUCAUACUUCCCAUAUGUCAACAGUUGUGCUCUAGAAUAUUGGAAGCUCACAUGACAUCAAAAUUAGUAAAUUAGUCCUUUGGCCAAAUUAGUAUUAAUGAAUUAUCAUCUAAAUAACAGUAAUCACCCACCUCCAGGCUCUGGUUCCUCUAGGCUCUGCUUUCCAUGCUUACUUUAUUAUGAGGCUGUUAUUGGUAUAUAUGAAGGCUACAUUGUCAAAGCAUUAUACCCUUUUAAAAUCUACUUUGCUGACUGCUUAUUUGUUUACAUUUUCAAUAUUUACAGAUUUUGGGUCUUGGCAGAAGGACAAAUAACUAGAGAAAUAGCAAUUGCACAAGUAAUUCUGCUUCAUUUGAGUACAUUCAAAGUUUCUGUUAUUGUAUCAUUUACUGUUUAAGGUUAGUCAUGUGCAUUUCGAGACCAUAUUCGUAUAUCGGCAGAGACUGAAAUACCAAGUCUACUCUGCUUAGUCCCCAAACUAUUCACUAAUCUGUGAAAUUCAUACUAGGUGGGUAUAAUACCAUGUCUACUGAUAGCCAAGUACGAGGGAAAUGGAUGUUUCCUCAAACAUCUGAUUGAAAUUUUCAUGUCAUAUGAUAGCCUUAUUUCUGCAUGCAUGUUAGAUGAAUGCUGUUUGGUGUGCACAAUUAUGUGGCCAGUUGAGCCUGCUUUUUCAUCGCUACUUUCUCUAUGACUAAGUCAUGUUGGUUAUCAUCAAAUAAGUAGGUCCACUGUACACAAAAGUUUUAAUUUACUUAUCACUGCCUGCUUUCUGUGUUUUCUCAGCUGAAAAUAAUGGUUCCCUGCAUAAUUUUUGCUGGUCCUGUUGGACUUGGCUUUGGAUAUAUGAGGUAAGAAUUAUACUCUUAAUAUGCAUUCAUCUGGUUAUUGUUUUUCUUCCUCAUGAAAUUCUUAUGUAAAAGAAAGUUUAGUAAUCAUCUCCUUGCUUUCAGCGCAGAAGGAAGUAACUUCCUUCCUUCUAUUAGCCCUGCUUUGUCAAGCAUGCUCAUAAUUGCCACUGUAAGUCACCAUCCAAUAAGAUUCCCUGCUACUACCUUUCAAUUUCUUCUUGUUUCUUUGUCAUUGUACUAGAAAAGAUGCCGUCAUAUUUGUAGAGGGAUUCAAGUGUUAAACUCCUAUCUUGACUUGCAGUGUAUUGUAUAUGUUCUCAUGAGACGAUUAAAUCCUCUUCUAGCAGGUGAUGCAUUAUCUGGUAUGUGAGGAACUGUGUGAUCCUCUUUGUUUGAUACAAAGUGAUGUUCAUGUAAUAGUGAUCAGUACUUUCUUUAGGUGGAAUGCUAAUAUCUUUUGGAGCUUCAAUUGGUUCUUUUCUGCAGUGGAUUAUCCAGGUUUUUAAAAUUGAUAUUACUUUAGAUUUGGACAUUCUGCAUUCUUUUUUACAAUAUUAUUACUCAUGUGCCUUUCAGGUCAUUAUGCAUGAGAGAAUGUGGCAAAAUUCCAAUCCGGUUCCAUGGAUGAAUGUUUUAAAGGAUAAAGAUGUUCAUGAGGUUUCUACUGUCUGCUCCUUGGAUCAUGGGCAUUCAUAUUGUUAUUCUUUGGUCACUGCAUCAAAAUAUAUUUUUAUUUGGAAAUUUUACCUUUAUUUAUUAGAUGAUGACAAACAUUCCCAGCAGAUGCUAAAUUAACAUUUUUUUUUUCUGCUCAGUUUUUCUCAUUGAUGCUUCCAGCCACAAUCAGUUCAGGCUUGACACAAAUUGCAUCGUUCACUGAUUUUUAUUUUGCAUCUCUCAUACCUGGUGCUGCUGCUGGUAUCUCUUGUGAGUAGACAUCCACUAGCUUUCAUCAUUGAAAGUGUCAGUUUGAACUUCAUAGGACAAUUUUCUAUCUUAAGACACAAUGUUCCUAUUUCUGCUUCUAGAGUGGCUCCUUAUGCCAUAGUUUUAGGAUUUCUAACCUUUUUAUGUUUGGCAGGCAAGUGUUUUGACCAGAUAUUUUCUGAAUAGAACAUUAAAGAAACACUUGAAAUUUCUUUUUCUAAUCAGAAUAGUUUUCAUCUAAUGUGGUGAGAAACCAAAGAUAUGCACAUGUGUGAAAUCCUUUAUGAAAUAUCAUUUCUUUGGGUAAUUCUACAAAGACAAAAAAAAAAGUGGAGCCAAAGAUAAUGUGUAUUUGCCUCCUGUGUGCAUUUAUUUUGUAUUACUUGUUACAUCAUGAUGUGAGUAGUAUGGACCUUAUAAUGCUGAUCAUAGGCCCUACUGAAAACUCCUAUCUGGGUCUCAUGUUUUGCAUACCGACAGCAAUAUAAUGGAGCUUUCCUUAUUGUCCUUGUUUCUCUGAUGUGAAUGUGGAAAUGUAGAUAUUGCAUCAUUGGACUGGCUUAGUUUUGAAUUGUACAUACAUUGCCAUGUGCUCAUAUUGUGGUCCAAGAAUGUUGUGGUUAGUAAUUCUAAACACCGCGGGUCACAAAGAAAGGAAAAAAAGAUUGGCAAUGUCAAACUUCUUGUUAGGACAAGCAAGGAAGAAUUGUACCUAUUUUUAUUGGAAGGGGGCAUAAGGAAUCUAGCCAACUGCUCUAAAACCAUAUACGUGUCAGCGUGUGUGUUUCCCAUUUGUAAUUGAAAUACUUUAUUAUUAUUCAACAUCUAUAAAUACGAGGAUAAACUUGAAUUGUUUUUACUCUGUUAUUUUUCUGUAUUCUUUUCUUCAUUUAAAACUUUGUUUCUGCUACACUGACAUAAUUGCAUUCUUAGAUGCUUAUCUUUUGGUCAUGGCACCAUUGGGCCUACUUUCAAGCAUGAUUGUACUGCCUCUUCUACCUACUUUCUCAAGAGUGGCAAAGGUAUUUUAACUGACCACCCCUCGGCCCCUUAUUACUUGAUUUAUUUAUUAUUUUUGUUGUCAUUAAGAAUCUCUUUGAUCAUUUUUACUUAAUUUGGGUUGCCUUUGUGCUGUCCCUUUUGUCCCCUCUGGGAAUAUAUUUGUGUGUUUUCUUGUAAAAGGGGACACAGCUCUCACUUCAUGAUGAAUCUUCUAAAACACAAAUAACAUCUUUUGUAGACUUUAUCAUGGCCUCACCUAAUGGAGAUCCUCAUACGAGCAGUUCUACUUUGCAUGGUAAGAUUCUACAUUUGGGUGGGGUUGGCUUCAGUGUGCAUUUUAAGUUGAGCAUGGUUAUCAGCAUGUCCAUUCUGAAUUUCUAAUUGUCCAGAAAAUGCAGCUUGAGAAUAUAACUUUCAACCAUGGCAUGUCUUGUAAGAGUCAGAUACAGAUACUUGCCAAGACAUGGUGAAAGGCAAUCACCAGUCAAUGGUGUUAAGGUCCUGUAUUUCAUCUCUAAACCUGGAAAAUUGCUAACCCAUUCUAAAAUUUGAAGUAUUAACAGACUGAUUUGAUUAAAGAUCUGAACUCCGCAAUUUGGCUAUUGUUGAUACCAAUGACAUUAUUGCAAAUUAGCCUGCAGAAGACUGGCUUUGCUUAAAAUGGAUUGACAGCCUGAAAAGGGAAAAUGAUAAUCAAUUUCUACUUGCCUUUUUAGUUAAUGAAGUGGAGUUAGGGAAACUGAAGUAGCAAGUAAAAAUAACAAGAGAACAGCAUUGAGACAUUCUUGAAAUAAGUUAAGGCAAGAAUAAAAUUAUGAAUCGAUUUGACAGUAUUUUUAAUUGCAUUUCAGAUAGAAAAGGGGCGGAGAAAUUUGACAGUACUUCUAAUCACAUUUCAGAUGGAAAAGGGGCUGAUAUUUCUCUGCACUCUUCGAUGUUCUCGUUUUACUAAAAAAUAUCAACGCAUUUUUGACGCAAUGUUUGCAAAUGUUCAUGGAUUUAAAAUUUCAGAUGGGUUUUAGCCAAACUUUGGAUGUUAUGAAAAUGAGCCUUCUUGCUACGAAGGGAUGUCUGACAGGUUUGGGUUAUCCUUGUCUUUGGCAGGUACUAAUCCUGCCUGUUUUAUCAACAAUGUGUGUAUUGGCAAAACCAAUCAUCCGUGUAUUAUUUCAACGAUAUGCAUUUGAUUCUGCAGCAAGCACUCUGGUUUCUUCUCUGUUUCUUUGUUGUGAGUAUCAUGCUAGUUGUUUUGAAGGCUUUAGCAUAACCAAUUUUCCAGAUUCCUCAUUUUGACCAAUAAAGCAUGAUUACCGAAGUCUAUAUUUUUAAUCGUUUUACAACCCAAACAGCCAGUGAAUACUGACUGAAGUUUCUUGACACAUUCCCCACAGAUUCUCUUGGCUCACCAUUCUACAUCAUCAGAGAAUUGCUAGAUGCAAUUUUUUAUGCCCUUGGAGAUGGACAACAACCAUUUCUCAUCACUGUGUGUGCUAUUGCUUUGAAUGCCAUCCUAGACUGGCUUUUUACCUCCAGAUUCCACCUUGGAGCACAGGGACUGGUAUAUUGCAAUUUAAUUUCUGCAACUAAUAUUAGAAAGGAAAAAAAUUGAUAAAUUGGCUUUAACUAACAAAGUGCAUUAUUAGGCACUUUCAACGUCAAUUGUUACUGCUUUGUCAGUCUUGAUACUGUUCCAUCUCCUCGUGAAGAAAUUAGCAGGUAAGUGUAGAUAGAAAAAAGUUGGUCUACUAAACACUGGAAUCCCUAGCUAAGUAAUUUACAUAACCUAUAAUUUUGCUGCCUCUGUUUACAGGAGUAAUUGACUAUGCAGCACUGGUGUGUCCUCUCUUGCUUCUAUUUUCUUGCUGUGUUGUCUCUGGCCUCACCACAUCCUUUGCCUAUAGGACAUUGCAAAGUCUUUUGUCCUCUGUGUUUAUCCUAAGGUCAAUUCCUGUUAAACAAACUGUUGAAUUCAUGUUUGUGUUGGUUUUGGUGACUCUAAUUCCAUGCUUGCAGGUUUCAUAGGAUUCAAGAGUUGCUCUCCAUUUCUAUGGCUGGUCUUGCAGGGAUCAUUAGCUUUUUCUUUCCACUUAUUGUGCUUCAUUUCUCCGGAUUCAGACUAGUGAGGGAAAUGUCCGAUACAUUGAAGAACAGAUAGUACAAUUUUAAAUCCUCAUUCUCAAUAUCGUCCCUUAUGAACGUGGCUGUACCUCCAUCCAGACUGAAUUUUAUAACCAUGGCUAAUUGUGGUCAGACAGAAGCAACCAUCCACCAUCCGCAUUGCAACUUAGUUUUUACCUACUCAUUACUAUUCUGUAACCAAAAGAGUAAAUGGUGGAAUCGGUUUGAACUAUGGAUGUUUACACUUAACAGAGAAUUUCUUGUGCAGAUGGCCUCUAGGCCACAUUAAGAUAGAACAGCGUAUUGUAAGAGGCAGGUUCUUUGUACAAAACAAACCCACUUGUAAAGAAACGUACCAGUGUUGUAACAAUGCUUUAUUUGAGUGGAUUAUGACCUUCAUUAACACGAAGGGUUCGUGCCUAAGCUGCAUCUGUUAAAGCUUGUGUUUUCUUAGUGACACUUCUUUUUGAAGCUUUCCUCAGAUCUUCACUGACUCGGUGCUUUUAUUUUUAGGCAACAACUAUAGGAAACUUGGAUCAAAUCCUACUAGGCCAAGGGUGGAAGCAAAAGAUCUGUGCUAGUAUAAAUGUUGGGGUUCUACAUUGCCCAGUAAAUCCAUGUGCAUGAAUCCCGUGCGCUAAACUGCUAACUUAAGAAGAUAAAUGCAGUUUAGAGAAUAGCAGUUAAAAACUUAAAUCUUCCAUAAAAAUUUUUUAAAAUCUUCCAGGGAGCAUUUAACCAAGACUCAAUACAAAUAAAAUUCUAUUAUAUGUAUGUCUCAAAAUUACAGACGCUCAACCAAAACAAAAUUUCAGAAAUUUAUAAUACAUUAAGCAAAGAACCUAAUGCAAGUACUCCCGUCAAAUGUAUUUGGAUUAUUCCAAAUCUACAGUUGCUAUACUUCUUAUAAAGACAGGGUUCAAAAGUUUCAGUUAAAUCCCUCUGCAGUGAAUCUAUGCAUGACCUGUGCUGCUGCAAAUCAAUGUAUCCAUGAUGAUAAGGGGCAGCACAGUUAAUGGUUAAUAUUCCAAGUAACAAGUACAGCAAUGCAAUUGCAUCCCUGAUAAUUGCAUAACAGAAGUAGUUUGGUGUGAGGUCAACGGCGCUUGUACAAACAAGGUUUCAGCUCUGGCCAAUCAAUUUCCUUUACCUUGGAGUUUUGCUUCUCCUGCAAAGUAAAGGCUGUUAAUGAGGAGAUAAUUUUCCUAAUGAGCAGAGAGAAUGGAAUUUCAUACAAAAAACAGGACUAUAUACUCUCUCUAGGAAGCAAAACAAAACUAAGCUAUGGUACCUUUUUCUUGAAGUAUAACAAGAUAAACAUUUUAUUUGAAAAGUCCUGCACAUAGUAAGUAUCAAUUAGCAUGAAGAAAGGAUUAAUUUAUUUCUAGAAGACAAGAGGAACAUGAAUAAACCUUUGAUUCUAGUGUAAAACCUAGCUUGCAGAUGGCUUUUGAAAACCUAUUUGGGUCUGCUCCUCCAUUACUUGGAUCGAACCUACUCUUUACCUCUGCUAUCAGAAGCCAACCACUGUAAAAGGAAAAUCUAAGUUAACAAAUUACAAAGCAAUAUAAGCAGAGUGAUAAAAAAGCUUUAGAUAAAAAUUGUAAGCAAACCAUGGUUUAAGAACUCUAUGCGCCUCCUGAAGAUAGCUUGAGAAGUUAGUCCCCAUCAGUGAAAGGCAGAAAACAGCAACAUCAAUCGAUGAAGAUUCAAGCGGCGUCUAGAUUUUAAAGCACAAAUAUCUCUUUGGUUAGAUUGUCAUACAUAGGAUACUCCACAAAGAGACUUGCCAAUAAAUUCCACAGCACCUAAUGACCAUGCUUUAAAAAAUUUGAAGUUAAAACUGAAAAGGUUAUGUAAAUUAUUGUAAUUUAGCACAAGUAUAACUCUAAACUUCCUACGUUUUUGCAUGUAUUGGCAAUCACCAAUAUCAUUGGGUCCAUUACUAACUUGUUUUUUGUGCAGUUGCACGUAUCCGCAAAAUCAACAUAAUGGGUUACAUUACAAACUUCCUAGUUUUUGCAUGAAUCUACAAGCAUCAACAUCAUAGGGUACAUUAUUAAAACAGAGCAUACACGCAUAAAAUUACUAGGAGAUAUAUUCAGAAAAUAUAGACAAACACAAGAAACAGAUCUACUAAAUCAACUGUUAACUUACUAAUUUCAAUGAUUAUUGCCCAUAUGGGUUAGAAGAAUUAGCAUGCGUCACAAAUAGAAGUUUUGAUCCUUUAAAUCCCUAAUUCAAACAUUUAUGAUAGAAUGAAUCCUAGACCAAGAUGCUCUUUUGAAUGCAAAGUUAAUUUGUUUUUGAUGCACAUGGGAUCAAGCUAUAGAAGCUUUUGUCUUCUAUUCCACUUGAGUUGAAUCAGUGUCGGAGGAAGCAUGUUCCAAAAGAAGCAUAACUAAAAGUCUAACACAACAUUUCCUCAUGUCUCAUAUGUAUGUGCCCCUUGUGACUGAGUUUCAUAGUGUAUAAUAUUCAAGCAGCCAGAAAUGAGAGAUGAUGCUAAUAAACAAUGAAGUGAGGGAAAAGGCCAUUUGAUUGCAUGUUGCUCAACAUAUAAUCAUAAAAUCCUUCAAAGUAUUUGAGAGGAAAGUGCAUACAUUUGACAUAUCACAAACAAUCACUGAAGGAUCACUUGAGACAAGAUCAAAGGAGAAAACUUUAUUCUUCACAUUUCUUGCAAGGCGAGCAUCCCCUGGAACACAAUGGAAUAAGAUAACAUUGUAGUAGCAAAAAAACACAGCAUACUAGGAAGUGCCAGCCAUUUGGUUAAAUUCAAUUAUUAGGUUUAGAAGUUCUCACCGCAUCCAAAAUCAGCCACAAUCAAAGAAGGGCUGUGAUCCUUUAGCCAUUUUAUGAUAAUAUUAACUGGUUGCUGAGGCCAAUGUGACAUUUGCUCUUGAUAUCCUACAUGAUACUGGUAAAGUAAAAUUUAAGUUUCUGCACAACUUCAUAAAGUAAAACUCGAAUCAGGAAAUUGAUAAUCAUAUUCAGAAGCAUCUUCUAUUGUAAGAUGUACACUGUCUAGUCCAAUUUGUGAAUACAGAAUGAAGAUUGAAAAUAGUUGCUAUACAAUUUCCCAGCUAAUAAAGAGAAAAAAGUUAGAAUCCAAAGCUUAGUUCCGACCUUUGAACAAUAAAAAUUGCGAUCUUUAGUAGAAGAAACACUAUUCCCAAUGCCCAUCAUCUACGCUAAAGGUUCAAUUUUUGCCCUAAUUUACAGUAAAAUGUUCUUAUUUUUCUUACAUAUUCACAGAACAUAUUAAUAUGCGGUAAAAAGCAAGGUAGGUACAGCCAUUGAGAGACGAUUGAGAACAGGGGAGAAUUUUCCAAAAAAAAUAUAAAAAUAAAUAUAAAAAUUCAUUCAAAUGAAUCUUACCACAUUAAAUAACGCAGGGUCUUCUUCAAAAUAGCUAAGCGCCUCGCUUCCACUGAGAAAAUUUGUCCCAGAAAAAAAAGAUUUAAAAAAUUCAAGUAGAAAAACAGAGAAAAGGGCCACACUAUAGAUCACGAUAAAACCCUAUUUGACAACAAAAGCAAAUACAGUUUAAAAGACUAGAGGAGAAAAAAACCAAACCAACGCAAUCAAUUCUCUGUUUUCUUCUUCAAUUAUACUGUUAAGUUUAAGAGAAGGGAGAGUGAGUAUUGAAAACGUACGUGCAAGUGUAGAGCUUCUCGUUGAUCAUCCGGAAAUGCCCUCCUGAUAACCUCGCCCUCAUCUUAUCCAGAAAACUACUCGACGACUUCGAUUUUCCAUCAACUUUUUCAUGCUUCCUCUUCUUCUUGGUCUGAGAUUCUCCGUUUUGGGGUGUUCUCCGUUUCCGGUUCACUCCCUUCUUGGCUUCCAUUGCCGCCAACUCUCACACUCUGAGAACCCGAUUUAGGGCCUCAAAACCCUAAAUUCACCUCCAGGCCCAAAUCAUGGGUCUUGCCCUUGAAAUCAUUACGAUUUAAUUAUUUUAACAAUCAUACUUUUACCCCCCAAAAAAACCCUAAUUUCGUGAAUUGAACGCUGCCUCUUUUUUUUUUUUUUUUUUUUUUUUAAAUUUUUUAAAAAUAAAAUUUUUAUUUCCUUAUGUGAGUAUAUUAUAUUUUAAAUAUUAUUUUGUUUAACAAUAAGUUUGUAUAAUUGAUUUAAAUCCAUAAAAUAAUUUUUCUUUUUGGAUAACCCGAGUACUCAUCGGGUAAAUUUAGGGUAUUAUUAAUAGGAGGAUUUGAAUCUAUUUAAGUGAGUUACCUUCACAAGUCAUGUAUAUAUAAUUAAAUAUAAUUUUUAUUUUUUAAAGAUAUGAAAUAUGAUUUUUUUUUUCUUAACAAAGAUAUCUUAAUUUUUUUUUAAUAUUUAUGUUACAUGAAAGUUUGUUAUUAUAGUUAUAAUUUUAAAAAAAAAUAAGAAUUAAUUUUCCGAUUAUCUUUUGACACAAAUAUUUCACGUUAUAUAAAUUUAAGGCCCAUUUCCUAUCCCAUCCAAAGUGUCACUUGGGCCAAGGAGCCUGCUCGAAACUAGAGCCACCUUGAAAAGAAAACUUCUUUAAGUUUCGUAGGGGUUUGGAGUCAUGGUUGCUUCCCUGUCCCUUUUAUUUUACUUAAAGGGAAAGGAAGAUAUGACAAGUGGGAGGAGAAAAAAUGAAGUGGAAAAUGAGAAGAUGUUGUGGGGAGGAUGACCAAAGGAGGUUUAAGGUUUUUAGGUGAAGGAAGAAGAGAAGGGUUUUAUAGUAAUUUUAUAGUCUUAUCUGUUUUAAAAAAUAAAAGAAUUAGAUAGGACAUGUAAAGAUGCUCUUUGAUUAUGGAAUUAUGAGAGUUGGGUGGGUGGUAGUGUUAUGGGAGUGGUUAAUAGGUCAAAAUUGUUGUUGUUAGGAUUUUAAAUGAUAUAUGACCACCGUAUCGAAUUGACACGAAAUUUUAGCAAAUUAGGGUCAUUUCAAACUAGGGUAGUUAUUAAAGAGAAGCCAAAAUCGGAUUGGAGUGGGUUAGGGAAGCUUUGUUCGAAUUCUGAAAGUCUAGUUUGAAAAUUUAGAAUUGGACUUCUAGCUCUCUUUUCUCGUUUGAAUUCAAUUGAAAAUCCAUGAGGAUUUUGGAACUGAUGUUACUAAUUGCAUUGAUUCAAAUUCUUGGAUGCUUCUUGUUUCCUCCUCUUUGCUUUGCUCAGUUUGAAAUCCAAGCGGAUUUCAAUUAAACCUUUCAUAUGGUAUUUAAACUGAAAAUAAAUAUCAUAUCCAUGACUAGUGUGGUAGCAGUUAGCACCAAUUUAUGUUAGAUGAUUUGAAUAUUUACUAUUUAGUAUCAUCUAAAUAAUGUUAUUUAUGUACAAGUAAAACACAUAUUUGAACUUUAAUAUGAGAAAUGAAUCAAUUAUUUGAUAGAAUACUUUUUUAUUAAUAUUUAUUUAUUUAUUCUUAAUUUAGUAAAAGAAUUUUAAAAAUAUAAAAUAUUAAAAGGAGAGAAUGAGAAAUUUUCACAUCUAUUUUAUGACAUUUCAAUUUUUAAUUAAAACAGGGAUGUUAAUAAAAUAAUAAUAAUAAAAAAAAGGGCAUCCCAUACACAUAUGAAUUGACUCACUUGUCUGCCUAUUGGCAGAAAUGGGUAAUGACAGGCUCCUCAAAAUGGAUGAUUCUCCCAUUUAGGUUGAAGCAAGCACACCUUUCUAAACCCCUUAUCUUCUUCUCUUCUAUCUACACUUCUUCAUGCAUCCUUUCAAUGUAUUCAAGCAUUGCACCACUCUCAAAGCUUUUCCAUGUCCUUGGUGUCACAAAUAUAUCUCCAUCACCAGAACUGGCCCUUCUAUCAAGACUCAAGGCCAUCUACUCAAUGUACUUAAAAUGCAGGCACUGAAUCAGAUAUGUUCACAUUUUCAUCAGGGUAAAUUGUUGGAAUGUGUGGAUUCCAUAUUUAUGGGAAAGGAUUGGGAAAACAGAGCAUCAAAAAUAAUUUUCAAGGUCCACCCACCAAGGUAAUAACAUUCAGCAUUCAAUGAGCCAACAAUAUUGAUAUGAACCUUCAUCUCUAUCCUAUGCUUGCUCCAAGGUUGGCCAAGGAGACACACAGCCUCUAUGUUUAACUGCAACUGUCAGCCCAAUUUAAUGCCUCUUAUCUUCCCAGCCUUGACUCUCUCUAUAUAAGCCCCAAUACCAAUACCAUUACUCACUCAACCUCCUUUUUUUCUAACUUCUUGUGCCUCUUACUUUUGAAGAAUGGCAACUACUGUGGAGGAUGUCAUUGCCAAGGCUGAGAUGGUUGAGAUUGAGCCCAAGACUGGAGUAGCUCUGAAGCCUCAACUGCUGAAAGAGGAGAAGGUGAAUGGCACUGAGCCAAAGCCCAUGAAUGGAGUGAAAGCAGAUGAGGUUGGAAAAAAUGAGGGUGUUCCAGAAGAGAAGGCAGAGGCUAGGAAAGAAGCGGCCAACGGCGGUGUUCCCAAGGACGAAGGAAAGAAGGAGGAGGUCGCAGUAGAGAUUGAACCCAAGACAGGGGUUUCCUUCCCUGUUAAGGUGGAAGAUGGGAAGCAGUUGAAUGCUGUCGGCUUGAGGAAGAAGGCUAUUCUUGGCUUGGGCAUCAAGAUUUAUGGCUUUGGUAUUACUCAAUCACAUCCCUAUAAUUCUUAUACGUUUUUUUAAAAAAAAAAAACAUUUAUGAAAGACUUACAGCUGGUUAGAUAUGUUAAACAGAUGAGGCAUACCUGCUGAGGCAAUUGAUACAACUAAGAUAAUCAUAGUAUCUGUUAUGAUCUAACACAAACAAUUGAUCGAACUGCUCUAUGAUGCAAAUUCAAAUCCCUGUUCAAGACCAGACCAAGAAGGGAAUUGAUCAUCAGUCCAAACUAUCAUAAUUAACUUUGUACAGCCAUGGAAGAAGCAAAUAGAUCAAAAACUUAUUUUCAAGUUUUCACCAAGUUUAUAACAACUGAAUCUGAUACAGGAUUCUGCAUGCAGCAUGCCAUACCCAGAGCUUGAUUACAAGCUAACUACCCACAUUAUUCUUCAUUUUUAUUUUGCAGGAAUAUAUGCAGACCAAGAGAAACUGAAAGAUCUUCUAAAGUCAAAGAUUGGGAAAGCCCCAGCAAAACCAACUAAGGACAUGUAUCAGGUGGUAAUUGAUAGUGAUUUGUGGAUGAUGGUGAGGUUGGUAAUAGUGUAUUCAGGUCUCACCAUGAGCAUGGUAAGAAAAAACUUUGAUGAAGGUCUUGGAGCAUCCAUCAAGAAACUCACUGGCGGCCGAAGGAAUGAUGAGCUCUCAAACAAGUAACACUUAUUAUCGUCCAUUUUCUGCAACUAUAAGAACCUAUUUCGUCUUACAUAUUAGCAGGCUUUUACCCUGAUUGCUUGACCUGUUUGUGCUUUGAUCAUAGGGUAAUGGGUGAAGCAUCUGAUGACAUUAAGCUAACAUCCGGUUCUGUAAUUGAGAUCACCCGUCUUCCAGGCUACACUCUUGAGACAAAAGGUAAGGAUACAAUGACAAAAAGUCGUAUAUUCCCAUGUUUUUCAUUUGACAGGGCCAGGAAUCUAACAACGAAAAAUUGUGUUUGGUUGGUGGCAGUGAUGGGUGAGGUGGUGAGCAAGGUUGAAAGUGAACUUCUCUGCAGGGCUUACAUCCACAUGUAUUUGGGAGAUGAUGCCUUUGACAAGGAUGCAAGGGAAAAAUUCGGGGUCUCCCUGCUGUCUCUGUUCUAAACACAAACUUUUAGCAGUCUCCAGGUUUAAGAGGAAUAAGGUCCAAGUCUACUUUGUAGUGACUGAACAACUGCUUAAUAAGAGGGAUGAUGAACUGUACUCGGUUUGAAUUUGCAUCUGCAUUUAGAGCUACAUUUUCGGUUUCAAAAUACUGGAAUCCAUUAAUAAUGUUUUGUUUCCAAAGAGUAAUUCUUCACCAUCAUAAAGAGGCAACACAGAUAUUUCUAUUGCUCAAACCUAUGACCCAGAAAGGCAGGGUCAAAUAUUAUUACACAAAACUGGCUUAGUCAUUUCAAGUAACAUUGAGAAACCUUAAUAUCACAGAAAAGAGAAUGCACAAGCAAGUAAGUGCAUACAUAUUGUACACUAAAUAAGACAAGUAAUGUAUUUUCUAGGAAACUUCGGUCAACUCAAUAGAUAAGGUUAAAUAAGGCCAUGAAGAACCUUACGAGGAUCCAACUGCCCACUGCAAUAACUCGAUGACACAGUAGAUAGUUCUUGACGUCCUCUCCACUCUUCAAAGGGUUUCAAGACGAUUGGGGCUUCAAUAGCAGCUGAAUCCACACAUAACAUGGUUUUGUAAUCCUCAUCCCCCAUAUCUGGAAGAGCCUUGGCUUUUUUGUCCCAAGGAUUCCAUACAGCUGCACAAAGCAUGACUUUUUUUUUAUAAAAAAAAGACUAUAAAGGAAAAGAACUUCAUAAAGACGACCAUGGCAAUAAAGGAACUUUAAUAUCUCGAAAAUUUAUAAGAAAAACAACAGAAUUAGCCCAAUUUCAGAUAAAUAUGUAUAAACACCUGCAUCUGGCAUGCCUUCUUUACGCAACACAAUAGUUCUCUUCUUUUCAUGGUCUAUUAUAGCAAUCUUUGUUGGGGUGCGCAAAUAUACUCGGUCGAUCUAAAAGAAGAAAUACAAUGUAUCCUUAGAAGCCAAAAUAAAAGUUUAAAAUCAAUGUGAAAAACUGUAAUUGUAAUUAGUUUAAAAUUUCAAGGUAAGGAGUAGUCCAGUUUGUUUAAAAAACACAUGUUGAGAUUGAAGAUUGAAAAGCAGAACAAAUGUCGUACCUCGCCAUCAAAGGUAAUUGCAUCUGCCUGCUCUGUGUACCUCUCUCUUUGCAUCAGAUUAUCAAAGUAGUCGAGUGUCUCCAGGCCCUCAACCCGUACUUCACUGCAAAUUAAACUGAAUCAUGCAACCUAUCUGAAAGGAUGAAAAUGAAGUAUCUUCCAAACUCAGCUAGCAUUGAAAUUUUCACUAAAACUGAAGAUACAUCAAAUUCAUAACACACCUUUGGGCCUUUGGGAUCACAAAAGGAAACAGAGAGCAGUUACAAACUUCCUUUUCAUUUUGUACUGUGAAAAUAAAGUAGACAAAUUCUAAUAGGCAAACCUGACAUCCGAUACAGAUAAGUAGUUACGCAGAGCAAACAUAAAAGAGAAUGGCUUGCUAUCUGUAUUUCUCACACGGGGGAUCAUCGUGAGCUUGCCAUCACUGAGAGAAAUACGGAGCCGCAACUCAAAUCUGCAGAAAACCAUCAUACAUAAAUUCAUAGAUAUAGACAGGUGAUAACACCCUUCCAUGUGACUCUUACCUGAUGCAAAUAUCACAUUAACGCACAAGCAUACCUCCGUGGCCAGGUUCUUACAUCCUCUUGAGUGGACUUCAAUAUAAGAUCCACUGAUGACUGACUGUUAGAUGGAGACAAAGGUGAAGGGUUGCUAUCUAAUGACCAUAAUCUGUUCCUUGCAAAUCCAUGUUGCUCCAGUGAACCGAAAUUUCCAAACUGCACUUGGACAGACAAACAUCGUUGAAAAUGCAUGAUCUCAAGGUCAAAAGGAAGAAGUUUUUUGGUAGUCUCCUUGAUAACCAACCUGUGGAAAGCAGACAGGUAUACCUCCCCUGAUGGCUUUGGGCGGUUUCCUUUCGGCCUUUAGAAGUUAGAACAGAGAAAACCCCCAUAUUUGUUAGAUAAGAUGGAAUUGAAAAUUCAGAAAAAGUCUUAAACAAGUAAACGUCAAAAAUUUAAAAUAAAAUAAAAUUCCAUAGCAUCAAUAUGACCUCAAUAUCUAAUGACUUUUCAUAUAUGUUUGUCAAUACUUUCUAAGUUGAUGAUACCAUGAUACAAUAUUGUCAAAUAUUUAGUUACUGUGUGGAUCAGUGAAAAUUUUCAAUAUUCUAGCAGCAAAGUGCUUAACCAUGAUUGAUCAAAAUCACAGUGGCUAUACCUUCCUGCUCAUAAAAAGAAACUCUUCCCUCCUUUCGUUCUUCCACGAAACAACCUGCCCGCCAUACAAAAGCACCUGAAACCAUUUCAUAUUGAAUCAGACGGUAAUAAUAAAAGGCUAACACAUUCCAUUUUAACUUGAUUUGAUAAAAAAUGAGUGUGUGUACUAAACAGACCCCUGAUUUCAACAGAUCCCAAAAAAUAAAUUCACAAAACAAAUUUUGGAAUAUAUAAAUAUCGAUGGACUGUAUUGAAGGGAAGUAAAAAUCUGAAGAACUAAAUCAGCAACCUACUCAUGCCUGGCACAGGUGUAGUGCUGACUAUGAAAUAAGACAGUCUGUCAUGGACCCAAAAUUGACACACUGGUCCCCAAAGAUAUAACAGAAUUCCGGAAAAAGACUCAGGAAGAAGAGUUCUGACAAAGCCAAAUUUGCAAAUCAUCAUAAAAAACCAAACGAACCAAGUCUCUAAAGAUGGCAUCUUCUUCAAAUAUCUCCUCAUCAAUAAACCCACACCAAAUGGCCAAUUCCACCUCUCUAACUUGUAGAAAAAUCCAGUAGGUUCUUACUUCUCAUAAUUAUAUCAAUUAACCCUAACUUUCUGUUCAAACAAUUCCUAACUCCACCUAAAUUACAUCAAACAAUUUUAAUCACCGACCCAUUUGUAGUCAAAACUUUCUUAUCCCAAAAUCAAACAAACCCCAUAAAAUUACAUAAAUAAAAGAGAAGAAUAAUAGUAAAAAAAAAAAAAAAAAAGGACAUUAGCAGAGAUUGUAUGAGGGGUGGGAAGGAAACCGAACCUCCGCCGAUGAUCCGGUGAGGUCGGUGAGUAUGACUCGGGGAAAGCCAUCGGCGCCGUGAACUAUAUUGAAGGGCAUCUGCUCGGGCCGCACCUUGGCUCUGAAACUGUUCACAAAUGGCUUCACUUUCCCUUUACUCACCUCCAGCUACACACAGCACAACACAGCACAACACAAAACAACAGUCUAUAACAGCAGAUAAUUAACAGAUUUUAGUAGAAUUAAGCAAACAAAAGGGAAAGUAAAAAUGAAAACGAAGAACUGAAGAUGGGUAAGCUCACGUUGGUUGUUGAAGGUAAUGGGGUUAAGUCCUAAAAAGAGAAAGAAAGAAGAAGGGAAGACGAGAGAGCGAACGCAAGUGGCAAAAGAUAGAUAUGUAGGGUGGUAGUAUACUAGAGCGACAGCGAGAGAAAACGAGGUAAACUUUAUGUCAUCGGAUGCUCUGGUUUGCAUGUGUCCCUGUCAGUUAAGGAGAGGAGGGGUUAUACGGUUGCACCAUUUCCUUUGGGUUUGGGUUGUAUUUCCCUCCUUGGCACUGCACUUGUCCGCCACUGCUCAUCCACUCUCCGCCAACGUUUGCCCUCUCACCAUGCAAAUCCACCUCCUAUCCCCCUUAUGAAGACUUUUUUGGUCUCCUCAAAGGAUAUUUUUUUUAUUUAAUUAAAAUUUUAAAAUAUUAACAUUAUUUCCAUUUUUAAUAAAAUCAUUUCGAAAAUAUUAUUAUUAUUAACAAAUUAUACUAUUAAUCAUAUAAUAAUGAUAAUAUUUAUUUCUACUUUUUUUUGGGUUAAAAGCAUACUUAAAAAAUUCUCUAUUAUUUUAAUAUUAUUUGGGAUAAUUUUUAAUUUUUGACUUUACCAAAAGUUUGAAAGUGAAGUAAAAAUUACAAUUUUUAAAGGAUAAUAUUAAUUUAAAAAAUUUAAUUAAAUUUGAAUAGAGUUGUUUAUGACUUUUUGGCUUUUAGAAUAUACAAAUUACCCUUAAUUAACAAGUCAAGUGCAUGAUACGUGAUAUUUUCGUCUAUUAAAAUUAACAUCGUCCAACGGAAAAUGUAGAGUGCUAGUAUUUAGGAAACUUGAAAUGUAACAUCUUCCAAUAAAGAAAAUAGAAUAUUGAUAUUUAAGAAAUUUGGAGUGCAAUGUUUGAUUUAAAAUGCAUAAUAUGUAAAAUACGAUAUAGGUUAAGGAGUAAAGUGAAUUAAACCCUAAAAUAUAAUAAAACUUUUAUAAUAAGUAAUAUUUUUUUUUACUUUUAUUAUAGUUAUAAGUUUUUUUAUACAAAAUUAAUAAAUAUUUUUAAUUUACUUUACCCACAUCCUCCUAUUUUUACUACAAAUUACAUAAUAUUAAAAUUAAGAAAAAUAAAAAAUUAGCCAACUUGUUAAAGAAAAAAAUGAGCACCACUCUUAAUUUCAAAUGAGGAAUCAUUUUAUUUUGGUAUGAAGUGAUGACGUGGCAAAAUAUAUACCGUGGGAGUGAGUGUAGCGGACCCAGGCCCAGUGAGUGGAGGACAUAAGGCAUAAGGGGCAUGUCACCAGAGAACAACCUAUUUUUAAUCUCCACUUUUAAUCAACGGUUCUCGUUCCCCCAAUUCUUUAAAAAAUAUUCCUGAUGUGACCGAGUCCAGUCACUUGCGCCACCACACGAACCCAACGCUUUUUAACCGUCGGAUACGUUGUCUUACCCUGAUGUGCGUGUGAUUGCGCCACGUAUGGUGAUCACAGAAGUGAGGUGUAUGAGCUGGCAUACGGAAGGGGAAUAGGGAGUGGUGACGUGUAAAAAAAUUUUAGGCAGAGGUCGCUGUUAUGAGACGUGGGGGUCGAGUGAAAAUGAAGGAAAAAAAGGAAGAAUCGUGAUGCUUUUGUCUUGCCUUUGGUUUUGGGCCUCAUGGGCCUUUUUUUAUAUAUGGAUUUUGGAUUAUGGAUAAUGAAAUUUGAAAAGUGGGUGAGGAUGGUUUGGAAUUUUGUAGGGGGAUUACAAAUUUACAAAUUAAAAAUAGGGAGGGGGGCAUGGGUGGUCCCACUACUUUUGUAGUAAACAUAGUGUAUCCCCAAAUUCAAAUGAAAUAGUUGACUACCUUAUAAAAUUUGUUUAACUCAUUAUCUAGGGUGGUCACUUCAUUUGUUUUUGUCUGAUUUUUUAAAUUAUUAAAAAUAUUCUAAAAAAAGGCGUCCAAUUGCCUUUUAAAAUGUCCUAAAUCUACAUUCAUUGUUUUAUAUGAAUUCUUUUCCCUAAGUCGGUGAAUUGAAUUACAAAUUUUAGAAUCACUCUGUUUUCACGAAGAAAAAAAUAAAAUAAAAUAAAAUUUAAAGGAGAAAGCUUUCUUGUAGAAUCGUAUUCUUUCAACUUUUUUUUUCUAAAAAGGGGGCGAGAGAUCUAUUUUUUUUUUAUUAUUUUAUAUUAUAUGGGGACAAGUUCAAUUCCCAAAAACUGUUCCUCGUAUAUCUUUUUGUUGGAUUGGUGUCGAGUCAAUCUCACUUGGACACCAAACCCAACUCCAAUAAAUAUAAAGAAAACCUAAAAACUUAUUUAAUAAAAUAUUAAAUAUAAAUUGUGAAAAACUCAAUUUUAUUAAAUUUGUUUAAUGUGAAACAAAAAUUUUGAUUAUGAAAAAUACAUUAGGAUAGUUUGGUUGCACGGUGAAUAUGGAUGCAACUGUUGUUGAUGUUCUUUUAGAUCUCUACGCAUUUCAAUGUUCCAUGGAAAAUUCCUACUAUCUUACCUACUUUAGCUUGGUAGUUUCCAUCACCAGUCACUUCGUUAUCUUAUGUCUCUCAUGUUAGUGUGCAUCCAGCAAAGGUGGAAUAUUGGAUAGGUUCUAUAAAAAUUUUGUAUUUUGUUUUUUUUAAAUUUUAUUUUAAAAAAAAAACAUUUUGUAAAAGCUUUGCCAAACAAAUCUUUUAGAAGUGGGAAAUUUGAAUGGGGCGGACGGCAUAAUUUUAUUGAGAGGCUGGUGAGGUGGUUGGUUUUUUUUCCUGUAUGAGAAGCAGACAAGUACUUGUUGAUCUAUUCCAAGCAUGUAACAAUGGCAGAUCAGUUUCCCAAUUGCAUUCUCAAGUAUUCAAGACUGGCAUUCUCCAUGACACUUUCUUCGCCACCAAACUCAAUUCCCUUUAUGCCAAGUGCGCUUCCCUUCAAGCUGCACGCAAGGUGUUCGACGAAACGCCUCACCCAAACGUCCAUCUAUGGAACUCUACACUCAGGAGCUAUUGCAGAGAAAAACAAUGGGAAGAGACUCUACGUCUUUUUCAUCUCAUGAUAUGUACGGCUGGGGAAGCACCUGAUAAUUUUACCAUACCCAUAGCUUUAAAGGCGUGUGCGGGUUUACGGAUGCUUGAGUUGGGCAAAGUGAUACAUGGGUUUGCUAAGAAGAAUGAUGAGAUUGGUUCUGACAUGUUUGUGGGUUCUGCUUUGGUUGAAUUGUAUUCCAAAUGUGGGCAAAUGGGUGAGGCUUUAAAAGUGUUUGAGGAGUUUCAACGGCCGGACACGGUACUAUGGACUUCCAUGGUUACUGGGUAUCAGCAGAAUAAUGAUCCUGAAGAAGCAUUAGCACUCUUCUCACAAAUGGUGAUGAUGGACUGCGUUGUUCUGGACCCUGUGACAUUGGUUAGCGUAGUUUCUGCUUGUGCUCAGUUGUUGAAUGUUAAGGCUGGAAGCUGUGUUCAUGGUCUUGUGAUAAGGCGGGAGUUUGAUGGUGACUUACCUCUGGUUAACUCAUUGUUGAAUUUAUAUGCGAAGACUGGUUGUGAGAAAAUUGCAGCUAAUUUGUUUUCCAAGAUGCCAGAAAAGGAUGUGAUUUCAUGGAGUACUAUGAUUGCUUGCUAUGCUAAUAAUGAGGCAGCCAAUGAAGCAUUAAAUCUUUUCCAUGAGAUGAUUGAGAAGAGAUUUGAACCUAAUUCAGUUACUGUGGUUAGUGCAUUGCAAGCAUGUGCAGUUAGUCGUAAUCUAGAGGAGGGUAAGAAGAUACAUAAAAUUGCUGUUUGGAAAGGUUUUGAGCUUGAUUUUUCAGUUUCUACAGCUCUAAUUGAUAUGUACAUGAAGUGCUCCUGCCCUGAUGAAGCAGUUGAUCUCUUUCAAAGACUGCCUAAGAAAGAUGUAGUUUCUUGGGUUGCUUUGUUAAGCGGGUAUGCACAAAAUGGAAUGGCGUACAAGUCAAUGGGGGUGUUCCGCAAUAUGCUGUCAGAUGGCAUUCAACCUGAUGCUGUUGCUGUGGUGAAGAUUCUAGCAGCUUCUUCAGAAUUAGGGAUUUUUCAGCAAGCUCUUUGCCUUCAUGGUUAUGUGGUUAGAAGUGGCUUCAAUAGCAAUGUUUUUGUUGGGGCUUCACUAAUUGAAUUGUAUUCAAAAUGUGGUAGCUUGGGUGAUGCAGUCAAGUUGUUCAAAGGAAUGAUCGUAAGAGAUGUUGUCAUCUGGAGUUCGAUGAUUGCCGCUUAUGGGAUUCAUGGCCGAGGCGGAGAAGCUCUAGAAAUAUUUGACCAGAUGGUUAAGAAUUCAACUGUUAGGCCUAAUAAUGUCACAUUUCUCUCAAUUUUGUCUGCUUGUAGCCAUGCAGGUUUGGUUGAAGAAGGGCUCAAGAUAUUUGACAGAAUGGUGCAUGAUUACCAACUGAGGCCUGAUUCGGAGCACUUUGGGAUAAUGGUUGAUCUCCUUGGCCGCAUUGGACAGUUAGGUAAGGCCAUGGACAUUAUCAACCGUAUGCCAAUUCCAGCUGGUCCCCAUGUUUGGGGAGCUUUGCUUGGUGCUUGUAGGAUUCAUCACAAUAUUGAGAUGGGAGAAGCUGCAGCAAAGAAUCUAUUCUGGUUAGAUCCAAGUCAUGCAGGGUAUUACAUCCUGUUAUCAAAUAUCUAUGCAGUGGAUGGUAAAUGGGAUAAUGUAGCUGAACUCAGAACACGUAUAAAGGAGAGGGGGUUGAAGAAGAUGUUUGGGCAGAGUAUGGUUGAGGUUAGGGGUGGGGUCCAUAGUUUCCUAGCUAGUGAUAGAUUUCAUCCAGACUCUCAGAAGAUAUAUGAACUGCUAAGAAAAUUGGAGGCACAAAUGGGUAAGGAGGUUUAUAUCCCUGAUUUGGAUUUUCUGCUUCAUGAUACGGGGGCAGUUUUACAAUUUUGAAGUGUUGAUAAAUGGACUUAUUAAAUCCAUUGCGGAUGAUCCAAUUAAAAUCCUGAUAACAAGAGUGUGCUGCUGGAUAUAUCAUCAUGUCUCAGAUUGGCUUUUUCUGGAUAUUUAUUGAAAGAAUAUCUUAUGGAUUUGACAUUUUAUGAACUCAGGCCUCAUUAAUAUCAACGUCAUAUGUUUCUCUGGAUUUGGAAGAUGUUUAAAAGCAGGAAAACCAGUAAGACCAUCUACCGGAUGGUGGUAACCAAUCAACUUUUGCUGUAAAGAAGUGAUCUUUGUUGAAAGCAAUGAGACUACAAUGUGAGAUGGAUUUUUGUUUCACGAGAAUUAAAAUUGUCUGCAACACAGUUGAUCAGGAGAAAGAGUUUGAUAUCAAGAUAAGAGGAGAAGAUUAUUUAUCAAGUAGGUUAAAGAUAUAAUCGCCAUGUUUCUUUCCAGAUCAUGCUACGCAGAGGCCUCAAGUUCAACCACCUUUAGCAAUUACAAGCUGUACUUUGGCAACCCAUAUUCCCUGGAAAGUCAAAGCUUUUUAUAUGCGAGCCCAUUUCAGAUGGCUUGGCCAUUUCUGGGAGAUUUUCCCUACUUAUCCAUUUCAAGCAGCAGGUAAAGUCAUGUGAUUGCUUUCUUACUGUGCUGUCAUUUUGCUUAACCCCUUUAGUUUUAGUUCAAAAUUGACUUGGCUUAUGUUCAAUUCUCCAGACAUGAGUAAAUCCAAUGUUCCAACUCUAGCAAUGAUUGCUAUUUAGAGAAGCUAUCCUUUUGGAAAGUUUCGGAAGACUACAAACAGUCCCCUUCUCGAAGAAAAAUGCUUUCCUGAGGAGAUUAUUAUGUGUUUAUCAGCCAUGGUGAUUGUUUAGAGAUGAAAGCGAGAGAUUGUAUUGAGCCCAGUCCAAAAUCCUCACACACUUCCUAAAUAGGCUGAUGCUCAUGCUCUGUUUUUUGGUUCCUGAGGUUGCAAAAACCCCAAAUCUUCAACAUCAGAUGUCACCAAAUCAAGUAUGCCUAUGUCUGGACAGAAGAUUUUAAUGGAAUUCAGCUCUUCAAGAUAGCUAGAUUGGCAGAUAUUGCAGCUCACAAUUUCGCCAGACAAAUUUUCCUUAAAUGUAUCUCCUAAAUUGCUAUAUUUACUUGGAGGAAAGCUGCUUAUGUAUUACCUUGUAUAUCAGUCAUUUUUUGAAAGAAACCAGAAAUAAUUUUUGGGCAUAGAUUGAAUUUGGUAUCCAUCUGUAUAAAUGACUGUUUAAAUUUUGGUCAUAGAAACUUUUCCCUUCAUUUCGCUUUAUUGCAACAAUGUCUACUUGUCCCUUCCUUCACUAGCAAAUUAUUUUCCCAGCAACCAAAUCACUCACUGAGUGACACUACCUUUCUCAUAUCUCAGAAGUUAUUGUCCUUGUUUUGCAGGCAACGCAUCAAAGCUACCGAAAGUAAAUAUAAAACCAUAGGCAGUGCCCCUGGUACAGAUACCAUCUCAUGGUACCAUCCCUCCAUUUUUUUCAAUUCUUUUGGCGUUCUAAUUUAUAUAUAUUUGGAUGAGAACCCUUUUCAAUCAACUUACUCCCAUCAACCUUGCCGCCACACUUUGUAACCGUUUUUCAAACUCUAACCACCUUUGCACCUCCAUCUCUGCUUCGCCGAACUUGCCCAUUAAUCAGAUUGCCCAUAUUAUUUGUUGUGUCUUGCAAGAAUGCACCAGCUUCAGUUGUCUCAAGAAAACCCAUGCAAAGAUUUUUGCUUAUGGGCUCCAAUACGACUCACGUAUAUUAACUAAAUUUGCCAUUAUGUAUGUUUCAUUCAAUAGAAUUGAUGCUGCGAGCAUCGUAUUUGAAGAUAUACCCAACCCAUGUAGUUUUCUUUGGAAUGUUAUGAUAAGGGGAUUUGCCACUGAUGGUCGGUUCCUCAGUUCUCUGGAACUGUAUUCCAAGAUGAUGGAAAAGGGCCUAAAACCCGACAAGUUUGCUUUUCCUUUUGCGCUCAAAUCUUGUGCAGGAUUGUCUGAUUUGCAGAGGGGUAAAGUAAUUCACCAGCAUUUGGUGUGUUGUGGAUGCAGCAACGAUCUAUUUGUUGAUGCGGCUUUGGUUGAUAUGUAUGCGAAAUGUGGGGAUAUUGAAGCUGCCCGGUUGGUGUUUGACAAAAUGGCCGUGAGAGAUUUGGUUUCUUGGACUUCGAUGAUUUCUGGGUAUGCCCACAAUGGUUAUAAUAGUGAGACAUUGGGGUUCUUUGAUCUUAUGCGUAGUUCUGGGGUGAUACCGAAUCGGGUUAGUAUUUUGAGUGUUCUUCUUGCUUGUGGUAAUCUGGGAGCUUUGAGGAAAGGUGAAUGGUUCCAUAGUUAUGUGAUACAAACAGGGUUUGAGUUUGAUAUCUUGGUUGCGACCGCUAUAAUGGACAUGUAUUCUAAGUGUGGCAGUUUGGAUUUGGCCCGUUGUUUGUUUGAUGAAACAGCAGGAAAAGAUUUAGUUUGCUGGAGUGCCAUGAUUGCAAGCUAUGGAAUUCAUGGUCAUGGAAGGAAGGCAAUUGAUCUUUUUGAUCAAAUGGUAAAAGCAGGAGUAAGGCCUAGUCAUGUAACAUUCACUUGUGUUCUGUCAGCUUGCAGCCAUUCAGGGUUGCUAGAAGAAGGCAAGAUGUAUUUUCAAUUGAUGACAGAGGAGUUUGUAAUCGCCCGAAAACUCAGUAAUUAUGCAUGUAUGGUGGAUCUUCUUGGUCGUGCAGGACAGCUUUCUGAAGCAGUGGACCUCAUAGAGAAUAUGCCCGUGGAACCUGAUGCAAGCAUAUGGGGUUCUUUGCUUGGUGCAUGCAGAAUUCACAAUAAUCUAGAUUUAGCCGAGAAAAUUGCAGACCAUCUUUUUCACCUAGACCCAGUACAUGCUGGCUAUCAUGUUUUACUCUCUAACAUCUAUGCUGCAAAAUCUAGAUGGAACGAGGUCGAGAAGGUAAGAAAGAUGAUGGCUAGAAGGGGAGCAAAUAAAAUUCAGGGAUUUAGUUUGGUCGAAUAUGAUAACCAAGUUCAUAAGUUUGGGGUAGGAGACAGAUCACAUCCUCAAUGGGAGAAGUUGUAUGCUAAGCUUGAAGAGUUGGCUGCACCAAUGAAACACUUGGGGUAUGUCCCCUUAACGGAUUUUGUUCUCCAUGAUAUUGAGGAAGAAGCAAAAGAGGCAGCUCUUUCCUACCACAGUGAGAGGCUGGCAAUUGCAUUUGGGCUCAUCAACACUAGUCCGGGGACUACUCUUCGCAUCACAAAGAAUCUAAGGAUUUGUGGAGAUUGUCAUAAUGCCAUCAAGCUCAUCUCAAAAAUUGUUAAUCGGGUCAUCCUUGUGAGGGACAUGCACCGGUUUCAUCGUUUUGAGGAUGGAGUUUGUUCUUGUGGGGAUUAUUGGUAACUACAUUGGGUUGAUCUUAUUCACAUUCCCAUAGGUUUUGACUAAACAUAUAUGAUUAGUUUCAUUCACGUUCCCUCAGGUUUUGAUUAAAUACAUCUAAUUUUUCUUAGUUUGACUUUUCAUCAAAUAUCUCCCUUAUUUUGAGUGUCUAAUCAUAUGCUCUUUGCAUGUUUUCUUUUUCUUCUUUUCUCCUUUAUUUCACCUUAAUUGAAUGUCUUUAAAUCUAACAGUUGGUGGUUUCUUGGUUCUACUUGGGUUCCCCCCAUAUCUAACGCUUUCCUUCAAUUUUUGUAUUCUUUUCAUUAUAUAUAUUCUAAUUUAUACAUUUUAUUUCAAUUUUAUUCUUAUCUCAAAAAAAAAAAAAAAAAGAUAAGAAAAUACCGAGAAAUAAGUGUAGGUUACAAAAUUUUCAAUCCAUGGUCUUUCAUAAGUGGAGAGAGUGUACGACGUUACUGAGCGUAAAUCUCUAUCACAAUUAAAAUUUUGAAGUUUAAAUAUGCGAUUGCAUUGUUAAAGAAAAUUCAGAGAUAAAAUUAUCAUGAUUUUAUAGUCUUCAAGGUUGUUGUCCUUUGGGAUUAACAUUUAUGUUUAUUAUUUUUAGAUUAAAAAGAUUAAUUAUUGGCUUAUGCUAAUAAAACUCUAAUUAAAAUGAACGAGGAUAAAAAUAUGAUAGCAAGAGAUUUUCUAAAAUGUUUAGUAAAAUAAAUAAACAAAAAAAAGAAAGAAAGGACUAGGAAGGUUUCACAAUCUAGUAUCAAAUCUAUUGAGAGAAAGUAUUAUAAUCUAUGAUUUAGUUAUAGGGAUAACUUGGAUUACUUUGUUCCUUGGCCCUAAAUCGUGUAAGUUGUAUGAAAUCUUCCUAAGGUUUUCUAGAUCCUAGGGAGGCAAACAAAUAAUAAAAACUUUAUAGGAUCUAGAUUUAGAAUGCGUUUGACAGUGAUUCUAGGAAGCGUUUUUAAUUUUUUUAAUACUUAAAAUAUACAAAUUUUCAAGUGCUAAAAAUGUUAGAAACACUUCAAAAAAUCACUAUCAAAUAGAUUCUUAAUAGUUUAGAAUUGAUAAUGUAAACUUUGGAUGUUGCCCAAUCAAUUCUUGUCAAUGUAGAAAAUGUUAAAUCUAUAAAAAAUAAUCCAUAGAAGAUCUCAUAAAUACAAAGUCUUCUACUCAAUGACUCGUCCUCAAAACACUUAGAUGGUGGAGAAAAGAAGGUGGAUGUUAGGAUUUUCUCGAAGUGGAUAAUAAGUAAGGUUGAGGUCGAAUUCCUAACGAAGGUAUUUGCAUCCUAACUUCAAAACCCUAGUUGAAAUCCAAAAGUUCAUAACCCUAAACUUGAAAAAAUGAUAUGACAUUUUUGAAAUUACAAAAUCAAAAUAAAAUACUAAAGCCUAGUUACAAAAACCCAUUACAUGUGUAUAGAAUUCAUGGAGUCUUAUUUACAUAGGUCUCAAAUACAUAAAUUUCCCUAGAGGGAUUUUUCUCCUCUUAAUGUCUUUAAGAAAUCUCUUCAAAUCUUUAAACAAUCACAGAUGAGUUAGGGCUUCAUCUCACAAGUUUUCUUGGACGAUAUGGGUUCAAACUUCACAAUAAAAGUGAGCCCUAAUAAAUGAGUAGAAAAGGGGUGUGGCAUCCUUUAAAACACCCCAACCAUUUUUAUUUUAUUUUAUUUAAAAAAAAAAACAAUGAGGCAUGUUUAGUAAUGGAAUGUGGCCUCCUUUACCAUUUUUAAAAAAUAAAUAAAAUAAAAAUAAAAAUUUAAGACCUCCCUAUACUUUGGAUAUGCUCUAACUGCUUUCUUGAAAAAAUGAAAUGAGUUUCCAACCAUAUUUUGAAACAAUUACUUACAAUAUUUAUUUAUUACCUACUUCCUUCUUGAAACAAUGGGUGAACCCUAACUAUUUUUUCAGAAUACCCUAAGUACCUACCUUCAUCCAAUGAUGUAAAUAUCGAUAAUUACAGAUAUAUUGGUACUUCUAUUUUAUGAAUAUAGCAGAGAUAUAUUGAAGGAUAUUUUGACACAAAAUAUCGGUGAACCUAAAAUUGAUCAAAAAAUUAUAGAAAUAUAAGAAAAAAACUCUUAAAAAUAAAAUUAGAAGUAUAAUGGAUAUUUUAAAAUUGUUUUAUUCAAGAAAUUGAUAUAUGUAUAAUAUAAUUUAUCAUAUUUGAUAAUAAUAUUGUAUGUGCUAAUAAAAAAAAUAUAAAUUUCACAGGUAUACAUUUAUUAUUAAAUUAUAUAAAAUAUUAUUCGAUAAUAAUAUUAUGAUAUUUGAUUAUAAUAUGUCUAAUUCAAAAAUAUGUUUAAUGUUAAAAUUAUAAUUCAUUUAAUUCAGUUGUAUUAAAUGAUAUAAAAUAAAUAAUGAUAUAUGUAUAAUUUUUAAUACUUAAUUAAUAUAUUAAUGAUAUUAAAAACACUAUGAAGAAAAUUAUCAUGAUAAUUUUAUAUUUUUGAUAUUGAAAUAGAUGAAAUUUUUUAAUUUAAUUAUAAAAUAAUUAUAAUUAAUUUGUUCUUUAAAACAUUUUUUUUUAAAUUAUGUUUAUAUGAUGCAUUUUAGUUUAUAUAUAUUUGGCGCAGUUUAUAUACGAAGGAGCAAACUUGCCCCAAUGGUUGGCUUAAUGCAGGGCAAACCUUUUGGCUGGGGUUUGGGCCCCGCAUUAACUCGUGUUGACUGCCCCAAAAUAUCACAAGAUACGAUAACUGUAUUGACCCAUAUUGAUUGCCCCAAAAUAUCACAAGAUAUUGGCCAUAAAUUGCCGAAAAUCCCAAAAAAUUGACCAAAUUCACGAUAAAUUACCGUUAAAGUUUAAUCACUGCCUCCAUGAACUUUAUGUAAGCCCUAACUACUUCCUUAAAAGAAUGAAGUGAGCUUACAACCAUUUUUUCAUGCGGCCAAGUUUAAUUUUGUACAUAUCUUUAUUAAUGGGACAAGUCCUCAACUACUUCUUUGGAUCAAUGGAUUAAACCCCUAGGGAUUGUAAAUUCAUAUAUAUUGGUAAAAAAAUUGGCGAUAUUUUUUUCUCAAUGGGUCCAACCAGAGAGAAGACAAAUAAAAAUGAAUCUUCAAUGAAUUGGUAAUUAGUAGAAAAAUCUCAAUUUUUUUUUAAACAAAUAUGGAUAUCAAGCAAUUUAUCAUAUAACAUGGAGUUUUUUUUUAUUUUUAUAUUUAUAAAUGAUCAAGGAUGAUAUGAAAACUUAUGGAGAUGAUGCGUCAUGAAGACACAAAAGUCCUCUUUCCCAUCUCUCUUUCAUUCUAACAAAAAAAAAAAAACUUUAUACAUGUUAAUCUUAUUUAAUUUUAACGGGCUUUCAAUUUUAGCCACCAAACCAAGAACCCAAAAUCAGUUCUAAAAUGCUAGAAUGUGGGGAGACUUGCUCCAUUAUCAAGAUGCACCAAGUCCAAUCUAGACUCCUCGAAUCCUAUUCUCUACUUGACUAGACUUAUUUAGAUUAGACCUUGUGUUAUAUAUGAGUGCUACCUUUGAGAAGGUAUAAGAAAUUUUCUCUAAUCACAAGUAUUAGUCAUAAGUAUCAUAGAGAGAACUUUUAUUCUGUGUGUCACAUUUACUAGGAAUAAAGUAGAAAAGUGAGGUGGUGUUUAUUUUUUUGAUUUUUUGCUGAAAGUAAUUUAUUUUCAAAAUUUAGGUUGUUUGUUUUUCUAUUUUUUUAUGACUUAUUAUAAAAUUUUUAUUAAAUAGAAAAAAAUCAAAAUAUAUAGUUUUUUUUAAAUAGAAAAAAUAAUAUAUUGAUUUUUUUUUACUUUUUUAAUACUUAAUAAAAAUAAAAUACUAAAAAAACAAACAAUUUAAUAUUUAACACUAUUAAGCAUUAAGGUUCUAUUUAGAAUUAAGUGAAAAAACAAACACACUUGAGUCUCCAACACAUUCGGACAUUUGUGUUCUAUGGGCAUCCGGGUGACUCAAAGAUGUAUUUAGAGAUGGACAUCUAACAUCUAAAUAUUAUAGCACAAUGGCACAUGGAGUGAUGCAAUUAAGAGACAUGGACCUAGGAUACAAAACAUUGAGGCCCAAGAGCUUAUAUAUCACAAGUUGAACACUAAGAUCGUAUUUGAUAAAACUUGAUAGUUAUUACUUAACUAUUUAAAUUGAUUUUAAAUUAAAUUAUUUUUAAGUUGUUGAUCUAAAACUUGUUAUUUAUGUUUUUACUUUAAGUAUUAAGGUUAUUUGGUAAAAUUAACUUCAAAUUUAUUUUAAGUUAUCAAUUUGAUAUGUUUAUCCUUAUUAGUUAUAAUUAGUAUUUGUCAUCAUUAAUUUUAAUUAAUUCUAAGCUAUAAAUUUGUUCAUUAAAUAUAUAUUCUUAAAGUAUUGUAUAUAUAUAAGAUAACCAUAAAAUAUUUUAAAUAAAACAUUAGCCACAAAUGUAGAGUCAUGGUUGUUAAAUAUACUUUUAUAAAAUAUGAGUAAAUUAAACAUAAAUUUAUUUUUAAAUUUUAAGUUGUUAUUUUAAAUUAUUUUAUCAAACAUGUUUAAUAUACUUAAUAAUUUAAAUUAAAUUAUUAAGUCAUUUUAAAUCAUUAAUUAAGUUGAUUUAUCAAAUACCAUAUAACAUUCAAUAUAAGUGGAAACAAUCUUUUUAAUGAUUCCUGGGUAUAUUUUUUCUGGGUCUUUAUAGUUGGUGUGUCUGCCUUUUAUAUAUAUAUAUAUGAUUGUUACAUGUAAACUUUUGAAUGACCGCGGGAGGUUCGCAAGCUUUUUUUUGGCUAAAUGCCAAAUGGGAGGCGUGGUCUUGUUAGCAUGGCCUUACCGGUGAUCAGGUGAUGGUAGUACUAGACGGGUUUCACUUCUCCGGUCAUGGUGUGUCAGGUUGAGUUGCAUCUUUCCUGGGGUGCUUUAAAACAGUUGAGACAGAUUUGUUAAAAAGUCCGAGGUGUCGAGUCAGCAGGAUUGGGACUUUACUGCCUAUGAGACUGUCGUUCACGCCUCUUGGUAGUGCAUUAAAGACAAACCUUGACUUUAGGAGUGCUAAGUAGCAAUGAGUCCCAUCAUGCACUACGUGCUCAAUACGAGAUCCACUUGAGUUCCACCGACGUCUAGGGCUGUUUCCAUCAUGUUGAAAAGGUGGCGGAAGAGGCAUGGAUGUAUAAGAGGAGCGAGGCCUUGGUGGGGUGAACUCACAAUUACAGCUUCCGUCAUGACAAUUGGGUACCUAGAGUCAUUUCUAGCAUUUCUGUGCUUCCUCCUGCUUUGGCACUGGCGUCAGAGUAGGAACUUACCAAUUAUGAAAUGGCCUCUUCUUGGGAUGUUGCCAGGGCUUUUUUGCAACGUGCAUCGCAUACAACACUACGUCACCCAGCGGCUGAAACUAUGUCCCACAUUUGAGUUCAAAGGCCCUUGGUUUUCCAGCACCAACUUUGUCAUCACCAGUGAUCCUGCCAAUGUCCACUACAUGUUGAGCACAAACUUCUGUAAUUUCCAGAAGGGGUCCAACUUCAAGAAGAUCUUUGGUGAUAUUCUGGGAGAUGGCAUUUUCGCUUCCGAAUCGGAUUCAUGGGCAACCCAAAGGAGAUUGAUUCAUUCAGUGCUAAAAAAUGGCCGGUUCCAGCAGCUCUUAGAGAAAACCACCCGGAAAAAGGUGGAAAAGGGGCUAAUUCCAAUCCUCGAGCAUGUCUCCAUGCUGGGAUUAGAGGUGGAUAUGCAGGAUUUGUUUAGCCGGUUCACCUUUGAUAAUACCUGCAUACUGGUUCUAGGACUCGAUCCUGGUAUCCUUUCAAUUGAACUUCGUGAAGAAUCUUAUGCAAAAGCGUUUAAUGAGAUAGAGGAGGCCGUACUUUACAGGCACGUCUUACCAGAAAGCUGUUGGAAGUUGCAGAAAUGGCUUCAAAUAGGAAAAGAGAAGAAGGCGAGCAGGGCGGUUAAGGUUCUUGAAGAUUUUGUAUUCCAUUGUAUCUCCUUGAAGCAAGAAACACUAAGGGGAAAAAGAACCCGAAUAAAGGAAGACGAGGAAGGGAGCUUCGAUUUUUUAACAGCUUAUAUGGAAAAGGAUGGCGAACUGACUGGUGGGCUUGAAAUUUCUGACAAGUUUCUAAGAGACACAGCAAUCAAUCUGUAAUGACCGGGUAUUUUAUGCCACGUUAGCAAUUUUAGUUUGAAAAGUCUUAAUUUAUGUGAUGGUUGAAAAGUCAAAAAGAAAAGCGUUUGGAGAACACGUGUCAAUUUCGGAUUGGUUAAUUUCGUUUUAUUGCGUCGGUCAAUUAAACGAGUUGAAAUUUUAUGCCAUGUCAGCCUUAGGAUAGAAAAUUCUUAAGAUUUUAGAAAUUGGAAAUUUACGAAAAACGAAAAAAUGAAAAAUAAAUAAAUUAAGAUUAAUUAGAAUUAAUUAAGAAAAAAUUAAUUAAUUAAUUAAAUUAAAUUGAUGAAUAAUAAUAUUGAGAAAAUUAGUUUUUAUUUGGUGUUAAUAAAUAAAAUUGUGUGUUAAAAUGAAAAAAAAAAUGAAUGAAAAAUGAAUUGGAAAUUAAAUAAAACAAUUAGAAUAAAGAAAAGAAAAGAAAAUAAAAGAAAAGAAAUAAUAACAAUAAUAAUGGAUUGGGCUUAGUUUUUGAGUUGGGCUUGGAGCAAGUGGAAUGGUGGGUUUUUUUUUUUAAAAAGCCAUGUGAAGUGGGCUAGGCUGUUAGUAAAAAG
rnacentral:lncRNA from 1 species